rnacentral:lncRNA from 1 species
AUUUGUUAUCUAGAUCGAUUCUAUGGCCGAUUUAGGAAAUUGGGUUUGAUUUGGUUCUUCAUAUUUUUUAUGUUGGAUCUGAGUAUUUUGAUGCUUUUCUUUCCGUCUUCUUAUUAGUGUUUUGUGUUACCCAAUUUGUUAAAUAGAUUUAAAUUUGGUUGGGUUCUGAGAUUUGAGAACCCUUAAUUAUAGGAAAUUUUGAAAUUAAUAUCCUAAAAUUUAUUAUAUCAUUUCUUUUCUUGCUAAUACUUACUCAGCUUUAGUUUGUUCUUGUUUUAGUUGUUUUUAGUCGAUUGAAUUAAAAAUUUUGUUAAAAUUAACAGCUGCAUUUAAUUCGAGAAGCUGCAAAUAAAAAAAAAAAAAAGCUAAAAAUAAAGUCCAGGUGCCUGCUCCAUAGAUUUUAACAUAUAAUAAUAGAGAAAUUGCUGUUUGUGCAUCUCACAGGCCACUGUAGCGGAACUGCAAGAGGCAAUUUAUUCACGAAGUAAGUGUUAUGAGUAAUUUUUUCUUUUCCUUUAUUAUUAUUAGUAUUUUUUUGUCAUAUUUUGGUACUGCUACAGUUAAAUUUAAUGUUUAUCUUAUCUCGCCAUAUUUAUGAACCAUUUGUUCUUGUGUUAAACUUGCCAUUUUUUUGUCAUGUCAUAAAGCAAAUCUGAGCAAACAUCAGGACUUGCAUGUUUCGGUUAUGGCAAAAGCAAAAGCUUCAAUUUGAGAAUGGAUAUUCUGCUCUUCUCACUCAGUAACUCCUUUCAGCUUCCUGUUAUGGCAAAAGUUUCAAAAUUUUUUGCCAAAUGCUUGGUUGGUACUUUUCAAAGUAGAGAAGCUGUUCCAAAAGCUUGGCCAAAAGACACCUAAAAGCUGAUAGCUGUAGUGUCUUUUUUACUCAUAUGUGUUUUACAUGAUGGGUGCAAAGUGCAAACGUUGGUUGGUGAUUUGAUUUGCGACAAGUUCAAAUUGUUAUGUAGCACAGUUAUUGCGUCAAUAUAUUUUAUUAUGCCUGCAUUGUGAUUUUGUUCGAUUUUGCACAGUAUGUCAGCUUGCUUAGCAUCCAUUUUGAAAUUGUUUCAUGAAGCGUGUUACAUCACUUACAAAUGGCUCCAAAAGCAUGUUGAAUUUGAAACUACUUGGGGAAGAAUUUAGUUUUCUGCAGUUCUCUUCAUAAAAUGUUUAUAUUAUGUUUUUUCAGGCAUUCGCCUUCCUCCUUGUGGUUUUCAUACAAUUUCAUUAAGAGGGUUUCCCAAUAUACAACCUUUACUAUAGAUGCACGCAUGAUUAUUGUCAUUAGAUUCACCGACUAGUAUUAAUGAAGCACUGCAAAGGGUUUUGUCAUCUACUUCAUAAUGUGCUCUGCUCCAGGUUCAGAAAAUUAAAUGAGAAAUUUUCGAAUUGGGUGAAUCCAGUUUCUUAUCUGAUAUGACAUGAUGAAAAUUUAUACUUCAUUACUUUCUAGGGUUUCCAGGCUCCCCUUAUUUUUAUAAAUGAAACCUGGAUAUUUGAGAAAUUAUUACCUGGACUUGGGCACUAUGUCAUUCAUGGACCGCGCAUUCCUCCCCCCAUCCAAUAUUUAAUUUAAUCUUCACAGCCUAGUAGUUGCAGCCUUUUUUUGAUUCAAAAUUUAUUUUCUUGAAAACUACAAGAUGUGAAGGGCCAUCCGCAAACGACGUGGUGCCCACGUCCGGUCAAUAGAUUCUUCUUUGGAUAUUAAAUUAGCAUAUCGAUCGUAUUAGAGUUAGAUUAAUGUGGCUUGCUUCCAUCUUUUCUAUGGAUUAAUUCAAAAAUUCAAGUUUCGAGAGGUACGCCUGUGUUAUAUCCAUGUCAGUAUACAAAAUCUGAGCAAUUUCCAUCAUGUCUUGUUGCUGCAUUUGAUAUUUCUACCUUGUCAGUGAUUGACACAAUUACUCCAAUAUCUUUUAAACAUAUUCUCCAGAAAUAUCUAAGUUCUAUUUUUUUUGCCACUCAUUUUGUGCAUUUUACUUCUCCUAAUAAAUAAAACUGGAUAUACUUAGCCAUUUUAUUCGGCUAAGUUAAAAAAAUUCUGUUUCUCAGAGAAAUACGUGAGUGCUACUAUUCUGUGAUGAUUACUGUUUUCUUUUACUUUUUUGCGCUUCUCAUCUGUGAUCAUAUUUAUUGUAUAUUAUGUUGUUUCGUUACUGUGCUAUUCUUGCAUUUCCUUUAAUGAAGAUUAGUAACCCUGUAAAUUAGCUUGAAUCUUCUAGAAAACCUUCUUUCCUCUCCGGUUGAGAUAUAAGAUUGAUUAUCAGCUUGGUCAAAGCUUAUGUUGUGAAAUUUCUGAUAUUUCUAGUCCUCAGGCUUAAUUGUAGUGUGAUUAGUUGAAUUGAUGCUGUCUAUUCAUGGUAGUUUCUUUGGUUCAACCAACAAUUAGACUUUGCUGCUUGCAUAUCUAAUGUUUGGAUAUUAAAUAUAUAUGUUAUUUAACGCAUAUAAAAGUGUUGACUUUUCUUCUCUUUUUUUUUUUUUUUUUCUUUUUAAAUACAGCCAAAAAGUACUAUCCUUCAAGACAGCGGCUUACCCUCCCGGUCCAACCCGGAACCUCUACAAAACCCGUAGUCCUUAAUCCAAAGGCAAACUUAUCUGAGUACUGCGAAAAGAACUCGACCAAUCUUACUGUGGUAUUCAAAGAUUUGGGCCCACAGGUCUCAUACAGAACUCUUUUCUUCUUUGAGUACUUGGGCCCGCUAGUCAUCUACCCUAUAUUUUACUACUUCCCAGUGUACAAAUACUUCGGAUAUGGGACCGAACGGACCAUCCACCCCGUCCAGACCUACGCCCUGUACUACUGGUGUUUCCACUACGCCAAAAGAAUAUUGGAGACAUUUUUUGUGCACAGAUUCAGCCACGCAACUUCACCGUUAUCGAAUGUCUUUAGAAACUGUGCCUAUUAUUGGACUUUUGGGGCUUAUAUCGCUUAUUAUGUUAACCACCCUCUGUACACUCCCGUAAGUGAUUUACAGAUGAAGAUCGGAUUUGCCUUUGGGUUGAUUUGCCAAUUAUGCAACUUCUAUUGCCAUAUUAUAUUGAGGAACCUUAGAAGCCCCAGUGGCAAUGGCGGAUACCAAAUUCCUCGUGGAUUUUUGUUCAAUAUAGUGACAUGUGCGAAUUAUACAACAGAGAUUUAUCAGUGGCUAGGGUUUAACAUUGCUACACAAACGGCAGCAGGGUAUGUUUUCCUUGUUGUGGCGGCACUUAUUAUGACCAACUGGGCCCUCGCAAAGCACCGCCGGCUGAAAAAGGUAAAGAUUGAAAAAAAACCAAUCUCUGUUUAGACAGUGUUCUUGUUUUGAUCUAGCUUCCAGAAGAGCAUUUCUACUAUUGAGAAAUAGUAGCCGAGCUUAUAUUAUGCAAAUAGAAAUUUUACAUUGGAUGUUGAGGAGAUUUUCAUGUAGAACCGUUACUGCCUGUCAUUACAGCUAUUCAAACGACGCUUCCCUUGAAGCUCGAACUAGGCGAUAGCUAUGCACUUUGUAACUGCAUUUCUUAGUUUAUGUGUCAUAAUUCUCAUUGCUUUUCAUCUACUCUUUUGGACUUCCAUUUUCUAGAGGAACGAAAUAGAGCUACAGGGUUCUCAUUAUGCAUUUUCAAGGUUUAUAAAUUUGAACUUAGCACACAGUUAACUGUUCACCUUGUAGAUUCCUACAUAUUUAUAUAUCUACUCUUUCUACUUACAGUUAUUUGAUGGGAAAGAUGGGCGACCAAAGUAUCCUCGGCGUUGGGUUAUUCUUCCCCCAUUCCUCUAAGAAGCUUGGCUUAUCUGCAUUGGCUUCUCUACGUAGCUCGAUCCAUUCUGCUGUAGCUGUAACCGUUUCUGCUCGUUUGCUAAACACUUCAAACUUAAUGUGUUCCAGCCAAUUAGAUUUGCUUCUCAAGUGUAACUUUCAGUUGUAUGGAACUUUAGAGUUACUUAUUUCUGUCAACAAACUUCUCAUUUUUAUUUGGAUUUCUAAGCUUGAUGGUGGAGUAAUCUUGUUGAGUACGUAUUGCGCUUGAUUUCUAAGCGUGAUUUCUAAGCUUGAUUGUGUGAUUUCAUCUCUUUAUGUUCCCUGCUUCAUAGCCUGAAGCAUCAGGAUAUAUAUAAUUGCAGGAACCAUAAUUAGAUGCCCAGCCAAGGUUUGUGCUGCAUCAUGCUGUUAGGACAAGGUGAAGGUGUAACAGACACCUGGUUUACGACGCAUUUUGAUUUGGCUACCUAUAUUUUUUACAAGUUUGAUCUUAUUAGCUGAUCUUUUUAGUUCACAUGAUGUGGGCUAGUUGAUAGCGCUUUCCCGCUCAAAGACUUUGGACUAGUCACUAUCUUUACUCUUAUUAAAGAAUGUUGUGUUCCCGCUCAAAGUUUAUAUCCGAAUAGUCAUUAAAUGUCUUAAAUCAAAUGAACUAAACUAAAAACUGACGUAUUAAAACCGUUGGAUUUUGAUCCAAUAGCCUACGUAAGUACAUAUAUUAAUAUAAAUGGUUUUUGAAUGGCCGGGUUCACUUACAAGUGAGGUUUGGAUUCUGCUUUGGUCCAGAUGGAUUCUGCUUUGGUUCAGAUUGGAUUCUGUUUUGGUUAGCGCACAGGUGAAAUCUAUAAUAAAAUCGAGUUUGUUAGGUUUUUAAUUUUGUACUCAUCCAUCCUAUUUAGCUUUGAGUAAACUGCUCCGUUUGGAUUUAGAUUUAGUUUAUAUAUAUAUAUAUAUAUAUAUAUAUAUAUAUAUAUAUAUAUAUAUAUAUAUAUAUAUAUAUAUAUAUAUAUAUAUUACCGUUCUGUUUAAAACUUUUGCUUUUGUUUCUGCUUUAAGUAGAAGCUAAAAUGCUGCGGAGGGAAUUUGAAACACCAAAUGGAACUUUAAUUUCUUAUAUAUUGUUAGUUUGUCGUCUCACAAUGUAGCCUUGUUUCGAACAUAAAUAAAUAAACAUACGUGAUUGCCCAUGCCCAUUGUCCUGUGUGGCGGCCGGCCUAUGCACGAUUGCAAUGGGGCCUCUCUCCGGAAAUUUUGGCUGCACCAGGUGUAUACUUUUAUUUUAUAUACCGCACGAAUUGAUAUCCGAAAAUUUAAAAUAAAAACUAAAAGGUGUGAGUUAUAACAUGUAAAAGGUCAAUUUGCAUAAAAGCUCCACUAAUUUUGAGAUUUUUUGUAAAAAUGGGCUGUCUUUUUUGGAUUUUGCAUAUUCUGGCCUAAUAUUUAAAAAACUAAUUAAAAUAUUCUUUAGUUUCUUUUCUCUCUCCUUUUUUUUUAAUUUUCUCAUUCGUUUUUUUGUCCUUUCUGACCCUCCUCCAUUGCCUCUACUGCCCACUGCAAGAGUAACGAGGGCAGCGCCGUAUCUUUUUCCUACACCUUCGUCGACGCAGGCACCAACGUUGGCGCCGGAGAAGGAGGCAUUGGAGCGAAUGCAUGUGAGAGUGGAUUUGGACGGAGGCGUCACGGUCAAGGUAGUGCUCGCUGUCGCUCGUGAGGCUGAGGACGAAGAUGCGCCUGCGCUUCACCAAGAAGCACUUCCGACGAGGGCGGUGGUUGCGAUAGAGAGCGAAGGAGAUAUUGCGAUAGCAAAAAAAGAUGCAGAUCAUAGGAAAAAAAAUCAAAAAUUUAAAAAAGUAAGAAAAAUAUUUUUUUUCUACAAAAAGGCGGAAAAUUAGAGAAAAAGAAGAAAAUUUGGUUUAUAAUUUUGGGACUUCAAUGUUCAAAUGUAUGCAAUUUCUACGACCAGCCUAGGUUUUACAGAGGGGGAGAAGCAGAUGUUAGGAUUUCCAUAAUUGUAACCCAAUUAAUCAUAUUUAAAUCUGAAUUUGUUAUAGAUAAAGGUUGAUUCUAAUAAAUAUAGAACUACUUGAUAUGAUAUAUCUUAUCUCUUUUUUCAUCUAUUUAAAUUAAAUAGAAUCCUAAUCAAACUUUGAUGAAAAGUUGAUCUGAACUCUAAUAAAUGGGAAAUAGUUCUGUCACCUUCUUAUACACAUUCUGGUGAAAAAUUAUCGCCGAUUCCACACCAUAAAGGAGAGUGUCUGAGAUAGGAUAAAAACUAAAUUACUCAAGUUUGGUUGUUGAUGUUCAAAUUAUAACCGGACUUUUUACUUCCGCUGAUUGAUCAAGAAUUUCUUCUUUAUGACGCUCUGUGAGUUAUUUAUUUUAUUUUAUAUAUGAUCUUAAAUUUUGGUAUGUAUUUAAUUUAUUGUUAUUUUACAUAGCUAUAAAAAUCUAUCAAUUGGUAUCAGACUCAAGAACGGUAAAUUAAAUGUUGUAUAUAUUAAGUAAUUAGAUCACGUAUUAUGAUGAAUUUUAGAAUUUUAUGUAAUAUGAUAAAAGGGGUUUUACAUAUAGCUUUGAAUUUUCUUGUUUGAUUUUGGUCUCCCGAUUGAAUCCAGUAUUUAAUUAAUUAAUAAAUAAAUAAAUAGUCAUCCUCUCUUUUUGACAUGGAGGUUUUAAUUGGCUCAUUCCUGUAGCCUCCGGCAUUGUCAUGUGAUAAGAGGAUGUACAUGGCCUUGCUAAAGUGUAGCCUCCAAAGGUGGUACGCCUUACAGCAUGUAUACUGUGGUAGUUUCUGAACACAAGCUUCGGAAAAAACGAAGAUGACUAAUAAAAUCCAGGCGGGUUUUUUUUUGCAAAUAGCCUUCUUAUAAUUUUUUUUUUUAAAUUGGUACUGUCAAAAAUUUAUUUGCAAAAAUGAUUCUGACUCCGCCACGCAAGUGUCAUGUCAGCGGCACGCGGGCGGGACUGGGCUAGAUGGUUAAGUUGAACACGGUGAACCAUUCACCGUGUUCAAUACAAAGUUUUUGUAUUAGACACGGUGAAUGAUUCACCGUGUCCAAUACAAAAUAGCUAAGAUCGAAAUAUUUGUAUUGGACACGGUGAACCAUUCACCGUGUCCAAUACAAAUAAUUGGACACGGUAAAUGGUUCACCGUGUCUAAUACAAAUAUCUCCAACUUAGUCAUUGUUGGGGCAUUUGUAUUGGACACGGUAAACCAUUCACCGUGUCCAAUACAAAAAUCUUGUAUUGAACACGGUGAAUGGUUCACUGUGUUCAAAUUAAAUACCUGGCCCGUCCUGCCCGCGUGGCGUUGACGUGGCGCUGGCAUGGCAGGGACAGGACCAUUUUUGCAAAUAAUUUUUGGACGGAAUUAUUUUUAUAAAUAAAAUUUGUCAUGGGCUAUUUAUAAAAAAAAGCCCAAUCCAGGCACAUGGAUCUGAUUGUACUCCAUGUAUUAAUUAAUUAUAAUUUUAAAUCCAUUGUACUUGUCGUCCUAAUAAGAAUUGACUCUAAUUUCAUGCAUUCUCACCGUGUUGCAUUAAAAUCAGAGCUCGGUUCUUGCAAAGAACCUAGUCUUUCACGAUCUUUGAUUGGAGGAAUAAUUAUUAUGGAGGUGGUCAAGUCCGACCGCUUCGAACUUUUCUUCGGUUCCGCAUCGAAACUCAAGCCUUAUUAAUUAUAAUUGCAAGGUUUCUUUGUAAAUUGUAAUUUAGGGCAAUUGUUUAUAUGCUCCUAAAAAGUUUUCGACUUUCUAAUUUACUCUUUUUAGAAGGUUAAUAUUGAAAAUACUUUUUUUACGUUCUAACCUAUUUUAAAUAUAUCUCUAUAGUUAAAUUCUGUUAAUAAAUAGUUAGCAAUAACUGUUAUCUUUAUAAAAUUACUAUUUUGCCCUUUCAAAUAUACUCUUUCACUAUCAUCGACUUUUCUUAUUUGCUCUUAAGUAUUUACUCUUAAGUUAGGGGUACAAAAAGUAUUUUGAUUUCUGGUGUUUUUAAAUAUACACUUCUACCAUUACCAAUAUUUUUUAUUUGCCCCUAAGUUAAGUGCAAAAGUGGUAUUUUGAUUUUUUUUAAAACGCUAGUAGAUAUUUAAUUCACGUUUAACUCAAGUUAACUUAACUGAUGGUAACUACAUGUGUAUUUUGGAAUAACGGAGAAACAUAUGAGGGAUAUAUUGGAAAGAAGAAAAAAGUAGGAAUAAAUGAGAUAUUUUUAAAGUUUUGAAGGGUAUAUAGGCAAUUAUCCAUAUAACUUAUUAAGGGUCCAUAUAUAUAUAUAUAUAUAUAUAUAUAUAGAGUAGGGCUAGAAUACUUUUACAAGUAUCACCCAAGUGAUACUUGUGUGUUUUUAGCCAUUGGAUCUACUUUUUGAUUACUAAUAGUCCUUGGAUCAAACACUAUUCCACCUACCACCACCUACCACCAUCAUCUCAACCUCAUAUCUCUCCAUCCAAGGGCUAAAAACACACAAGUAUCACUUGGGUGAUACUUUUACAAGUAUUCUAGCUCUACUCUCUCUCUCUCUCUCUAUAUAUAUAUAUAUAUAUAUAUAUAUAUAGACUUAGGCUGGAAUACUAUCAAUAGCACCAAUCAUUUUGUGCUAUUAGGUUUUCGGCCCUUGGAUUAAAAAUGUACAGUUAGGAUGAUAUGGGCCACCUAGGGUUGAGUGAGUUGUUGGUUUAAUAGUAUAAUCUAACAGGUGAAAAUAGUCAAAGGGUUAAAUCUAGGGGUGGAACUGGGCCCGGGCCUAAACAAGGCCCGACCCGAUGGGCCAUAUUUGGGCCGGGCUUUGGAUAUUAAAAAUAUAACUUUGGGUUCGGGCAGGGUUUAAAAAUUUAGGCCCGAAGAAAUUUUGGGCCUAUUUGGGUAUGUCCAAGCCUGGCCCGAGCCCAACCCAAAAGCCGGAUAUAUUAAUUAUUAAAAUAAAAUAUUUAAUUAUAUAUAUAUUAUUUAUCUAUAAAAGAAAUAAAUAAUAUACUAUAUCAUAUAUAGUAUAUAUUGUUAUUAAUGAUAUAUACUUAUAUAUAUGAGGAUAUAUUAUAUAUUAACAAAAUAUUUAGUUUAGGUUAGGAUAUAUUUGAUAUUAAAUAUUAAUUUAUUUGAUGUGAUCAAACUAAAAAUAGGUAUUUUAUUUUAAUUUUAUACAAAUAAAAGCAUUUAUGUAUUAUAUGAUAAAUGCAUAAAAUAGACCUCCACAAAGCCCGAUGGGUAUUGGGCAUUGGGCUUGGGCUUGGGCCGGACCUUAAUUUUCACAAAAAAUUGGGUAAAAGCCCGACCCGAAGCCCAACAUUUUUUUUUGGGUCGGGCUUGGGCAUUGUAUUACCCGACCCAAACUCAGCCCAGUUCCACCCCUAGUUAAAUCUAACGGCGGAAAACUUGAUAUCACCAAAUGCAUGGUGCUAUUGAUAGCAUCCCAGCCGGACUAUAUAGACUUAUAAUAUAGAAUUGAGCUAGAAUACUUUUAGAAGCACCAAUGCCUUGAUACUUCUAAGUUUCUAGCCCUUGUAUCUAUUUAUUAAUUACUAAUACCCCUUUGAUCAAAUACUAUUCCACAUACUACCACCUACCACCACCUACCAAUAUCAUCUCAACCCUACAUCUCUCCAUCCAAUGGUUAAAAAUUCAAAAGCACCGCCCCCUUGGUGCUUUUGAGAGUAUUCUAGCUCAACUCUCUCUCUCUCUCUCUCUCUCUCUCUCUCUCUCUCUCUAUAUAUAUAUAUAUAUAUAUAUAUAUAAUUCAUCAGAAUUUGCAUUCAUCAAAAUUUGAUUCUUGUACUUAUUCAAGUGUUUUGAACAUAAAGAAUCCGUUCAUAUAAAGAUUUAAUUUUACAUACAAUAUUAAUUUAUCAUAAAUCUAUUUAUCUUAUAUUUGUGGUCAAAUUAGAAUGUAUAAAGUUUAAAUUUUGAUUGCGAUAUUAUGUUUUAAAUUAUCACAUCUAUAUUCUUAUUUUGAUAGGAUGAAACAUGAAAAUUAAAUAAUCAUAAUUGUUGUUAGAUUAUUUAAGGCUCGCGUUAAAUUGAAUUAGUUUAUUAUUUCGAUUGGUUAGGUGGAAGCCAAAGAAUCCCCAACUAAAGUAAAUAAUAAUUUAAUUUACUUUAAAGUAGCGCAUUCGGAUAAUUUUUAUGUUAAUCAUGCAGCAUUAAGUCAGAUUAAUUUGUUACUUCAACUGUUCGGGUGUAAGCCAAAGUGGCCCCGACCAGAAGGAAAGAUAAAUUAAUCGCAUUAAAGAAGUGCAUGUAGAAAUUGCACUCUAAUAUUAUGUUUAGUCUGCUCGAACUCUAGACAUAAAGGUACAUGGGUGAUGCAGGAUGACAAUUUUCUAACUCGUUUGGAGAAAUUUACUUGGCCAAAACCGAUAAUUUCUUUAUAUGGAAAACUUAAAAUUACCAUGACUUGCAAAAAGUUUAAAUUAAUCUCUGAUAAAGAGAUUGUAUAUUUAUGCUCGUAACUCUGCUCGAGGACUUCAUAUUUAAACAAGAACUCUAUUGGGCGAAGAGAGCGAAAGAUAAUUGGAUUUGUAAAGGAGACAGGAACACCUGCUAUUUUCACAUGAAAGCGACUAUGCGCAAUAGAAAAAAUACAAUCACUUCUCUUCAGAAUGAUUUCGGCAAGACAAUUCUUGACAAAGUGGAACUAAAACAUUUGGGUUGAGUGCAUACAGGUCCCUGCAAACAUAGUCAAUUGCGGAAAUAUCCCUGCAAAACGGAAACUCCAUAAGUUGUCCCUGCAAAAGUCUAAAGUUAUGCAGAUAUGUCCCUCUGAUUAACAUCUGUUAGAGAACUGUUUAUUUUUUAACAGUUUUCAUGUGAAAUGACCAUUUUGCCCUCACAAAUAUAUCCCUCAAAAGCAUCUUCCCCCUCUCUUUCUCUUCAUCUUCCUCUUCGGGCCGCCGGAGCGGAUGGCGGCGACAGCGCGGGUCGAGCUCGCCGGCGACGAAGAAGAGGGAAGAGAAAGAAUGAGAGGAAGAAAAAAAGGGAAGAGGAAGAAGGAGAGGAAGAGGGAGAGGAAGAGGGAAGAGAAAGAUGAAGAGGGAAAGGGUUCGUCGCCGCGCGCCGCCGCCGCAUCUCCUCCCUUGCCGGCGAUGAAGAAGAGGGAAAAGAAAGAGGAAGAGGAAGAGGAAAAGAAAGAUGAAGAGGAAGAAGCAGAGGGAGAGGGAGAGGAUUCGCUGCCGCCGUCGGAUCUUCUCCCUCGCCGGCGAUGAAGAAGAGGGAAGAGGAAAAGGAAGAGGAAGAAGAAGGGAGAAAAUGGAAGAGGGAGAGGAAGAAGGAGGAAAAGAAAGAGAGAGGGUUCGUCGUCGCGGCCGUCGUCGCUGCCGCCGCCGCCCUCGCCGGCAACGAAGAAGAGGGAAGAAGAAGAGGGGGAAGAAGAAGAAGGGUAGAAUCGUAAAUUUACCUUAUAAUUAACCAUGGUUAAGUACUUUAACCGUGGUUAACGAAAAUUUUCUAACAGUCCUUAACGGCAGGGACAUAUCUGCAUAACUUUAGACUUUUGCAGGGAUAACUUAUGGAGUUUCCGUUUUGCAUGGAUUUCUUGUAAUUCACUAUGUAAGGAUUUUAUAGUUGGCGAAUUCUGUGAUGGUUUGGAUGGAGUCUCGAAAAAUUAAAGAUGAAGAUUGACGAAAAGAAUUGAAGUUCUUAUGAUCAAAGUGUUGGCUUUAAAUGGGCCAGCAUCCUGCCCUGUGGCGGCAGGCCAUGUGGGCGAGUCAUGUUCGAAAUGGCGUGAGGCUGGGUUGGGCCGAGUCGUUCGAAGUGGCGUGAGGCCAGUGGCCGAGUCACAUUCAAGACCCGUGGGCGUUGUUUCUGUACGCUUUAAGUGAAUUGGUUGCGUAUUUCUAAUAGCUCGAGCUUUUGGGAUUAAUGGUUAGCGCCACACGAUCCGACAAGUGGUAUCAGAGCCAAAGGUCACGGGUUCGAUUCCUGCAACUGCAAAUAUAUGCAGGUGCUGGAGGGGGAUUGUUGGCUUAUGGGCCAGCAUCCUGCCCUGUGGCGGGAGGCCAUGUGGGCCGAGUCAUGUUCGAAUGGCGUGAGGCUGGGUUGGGCCGAGUCAUGUUCGAAGUGGCGAGCCAGGUGGGCCGAGUCACAAUCAAGACCCGUGGGCGUUGUUUUCUGUACGCUUUAAGUGAAUUGGUUGCGUAUUUCUAAUAGCUCGAGCUUUGGAUUAAUGGUUAGCGCCAACGAUCCGACACAAAGACCUUGAGAACUCAGGUAUGUUAUAAAUAAUUUGUGGUAAGUUUUCAUUGUAAAAGAUGUUUAGAAGACUUGGUUUCAUUCUUGUUUAUUCAAAAAUAUUUUUCUGGAAAACUCAGGGUCGGGGACCGGUCCUUGAUCAAGGGACCGGACCCAUCAAGCUUCUCUGCGUAGAAGGUUUGGGAGACGUCUCUGAUCAUGAGGACGGUCCCCGUACGUGGUUUUCUUGUUGCGCAGGGAGGACCGGUCUCUGAAUUGAGGACCGGUCCCGUACCAUAUUUUGACAUCUACGCAGCGUAGACCGGACCUCACCUUGGGAGACCGGUCUCCCAAGGACGCGUCUCUCGAGAGGACCGGACCCUGAGACCGUCGUCUGUUUUAAAAUUGAGUUUUUAGAAUCCUAGUCUAUCUAGAAGUCUUCUAAACCUAUAAAUAUGAUAUGAGGAUCUUCAUAUGAUGGUUUGAGCGAGAUAAUUUUAAAAAACCCUAACCGACUUGAUUGAGCUUGAUCCUGUUUCUCAUAUCAAGUUUUAGAUCAUCGUUUGAUUCUUCAGUUUUUGAUUCAAACUUUCUUAAGGAUCAAAUUGGUGAUGUUUUGAUUUGGAUUCUCCUCAUAUCAUAUGUGCUUUCAAAGAGUUUAAAUCAUCACAAAUUGUCAAAUCUCUACGAGCUUCGAUGGAGCGUUAACGCGUGGAUCUCGCGUGAAGACGUGGAUUCGGUAGGCGUUUCGUAGUCGAGGCGUGUGUGGCUGCAAGGAUUUGCAGUGUGAUCGGUUGGAGGAUUUCAAGCGAUCGAGGACUGGCAAAGAUGUUCUACAACGAGAAUUCGGUAUUUCGAAUCUUGUAUUUUUGAUAAAUCACUUGUACUGACGUUUUCUUAGUGGAUUUCUUUGUGUGAUCGGUCCCGUGGGUUUUUCUCUCCGGUUUGGAGUUUUCCCACGUUAAUUCUCGGUGUGCUGAUUUUAUUUUUCCGCAUUCUAUUUUAAAUUUGCAUCGAGUUUCGAGAUUGUUGCCGUUUACACCUAUUCACCCCCUUCUAGGUGUCUUUUACCUUUUAGAUCCUAGGGAUCCAUAUCUUUCACACUAUGUUUGUAGGGACGUGUAUGCAAAUAACCCAAAACAUUUUAUAGACCAUCAUUUCGAGGCUUUCUACACAGCUCCACAUACCUGCGAUAGAACGGACGGCAGCUAGGAUUUUAUGGAACAUCAAAUGUAUAAGCUAUCGCAGAUUGAAGCAAAUACCUUGAGUGUGCCCCCUACCAUGAUCGAGCUCCGCGAAGCUCUCUUUAGCAUGAAACCAGAUAAAUCUCCUGGCCCGGAUGGUUUUUCGGCUUGCUUCUUUCAAGCAAAUUGGGAGCUUGUGAAAGCUGAUUUAUUUUUGUUGGUAGAAAAAUUCUUCCUAACUCAAGAAGCUCCACCUUCCACCAACCAAACCAACAUCGUGUUAAUUCCCCAAAAGAAUUGACCUGUCAGCAUUGGGGACUUUCGCCCCAUAAGCUUAUGUAAUGUGACUUAUAAAUGCUUAGCAAAAAUUCUGGCAAAUAGAAUUAAGGCAUUCCUCCCGUCCUUGAUUUGCAAAGAACAGAGUGCCUUCGUGUUAGGUCGGAACAUUUUUGACAAUUAUCUUAUUGCCCAAGAGUUCCUCUACUCCUUCAAAACCUCAAAGCGACGACCGGGAGCAUUUGUCGCCAAGAUAGAUCUUGCAAAAGCCUAUGAUCAGUUGAACUGGGACUUUAUUGAAAUCAUGUUACAAAAAAACGGCUUUCCGAACAAAUUUCGAAGAAUGAUUAAUUGGUGUAUCAGGACGGUUCAUUUUUCUGUGCUAACUAAUAAUGAAAAUGGAAGAUGCUUUCAACCGAGCAGAGGGAUAAGGCAAGGAUGCCCGCUUUCUCCGUAUGCUUUUAUUUUAGCUUCUAACGCGCUUUCAUUGCUCUUGAAAGAUGCUAUCCAGUGCAGGUCAAUAGAUGGCAUCAAUUUUGGAAGAACAGGGCCAGUUCUAUCACACGUCAUGUAUGCCGAUGAUCUCUUUAUUUUUGGAAAAGCUACUAGGAAUGAAGCUCUCCGAAUAAAUGAUAUUCUUAAAAGAUUUGGUGCCAUAUCCGGAGAGAACAUAAACCUUCAGAAAUCGUCGAUAAUCUUUAGCCAAAACACUAAAUCUGAAACACGGGAUAGUAUUCAACAAGUUUUCCAUAUUAUGGAGCAUCAGGGAUAGGGACAAUACUUAGGUAAUCCUCUGUUUAUAGAACGAUCUCUCUCUACCACAUUUAGAUUCGUUAUCGACAAAUGGCAAAGCAGACUGGCUGGCUGGAAAGCUAGGAAUUUAUCGCAUGCGGGGCGUCUAAUACUGAUACAAUCAGUACUUCUAGCGGUACCUAGAUACUUCAUUUGCUUUAUUUUAUUUCCGGCAAAAUUCCUGCAUCAAAUGGAUAAAAUUGUGAGAGACUUUUGGUGGGGUUUCAACCCAGGAGUUCGUCAUUUCUAUCCAAAGGCGUGGUCGAAACUUACUACAAACAAAGAUUUAGGAGGGCUUGGUAUACCGUCACUAUCAACGCUCAACAGAGCCUUGGUAUGCAAACUGGCAUGGACAUUCCUCACUAGGGCCACAUCUUUAUGGGCACAGGUUUUAGCAAGCAAGUACGGCAGGGACAACAAUCUCAAUUUCUGGUCAGUUCAGAGCAAAUCUACAGCUUCGCCUAUUUGGCGUUCUAUGUUGCAAAUUCGAAACCUGAUGACGACUGCCGUGGUAAGGAAUGCUGAGGAACUACAAUGGAAACUCACAAAAUCCGACUGCUUCACCCUCCAAUCUGCUAUUAACCACAUAAACGAAGGCCUAAAUCAGAACCAGAUACAUCAGCCACCUGAAACUCGACAAAUGAUAUGGGCUAUAGUAUGGAGCAUAAAGAACGUGAUGCCUCAAGCAAAAGUAUUUUUAUGGAGAAUUGUAGCAGACUCGUUACCUGUCGGAGAUAAACUAGCCUCAAGAUUACCUUACAUCGACGGACUUUGCCCUCUCUGCCAAAAACAGUCUCAGACGUUAGUGCACUUAUUUUUUAAUUGUGAGCAAGCACGACGAGUCUGGUUUGCAUCGAGUUUGGGCCUCACAACAGACCAACCUGAGCGAUCUAUAUCCUUUUGGAUAAUUUUCAUCCUUACCAACAAAGCUAUGGAGACUCAGAAGGCCUUUUGUGUCCAUAUGUUAUGGAGCUUGUGGAAGGAAAGGAAUGAGGUGAUCUUUGAGGGGCACUACAGUCCUUUCAAGGGCACGUAGUUGGACGGCCUUAUACUCUAACGAGAACAUGACGAGAUUUAGCAUACAGGACCCCACUCUGAUUCAAGACCCCACCAACUCUUCCUUUCAUGUGUGGGUAGAUGGAAGUUGGAAAGGGGGUACUGAAUGUGGUGUAGGAUGCCUGAUUACUAAUCAAAAUGGCACUAUCGCAUGCAUAUCUGAUGUAAUAAUAGUGGUCAUGAUGCAUGCUCGGCCGAAAUUGGAGCAAUUAUCCGAGUGACAAAGCUUCUUUUACAAAUGUAUCCUGGAGAAACUUUUCAUAUCUUCUCAGAUUCAGCAUCUAUCAUCAAAGCUUUGUGCCUCAGGAGUUAUCAAUCAGAUUCGCUAACACCUAAAGCUCGGACAAGAAUCACGGAGCUAUGGACUAUUACUGAAAAAUUCAAUUACUUCAGCUUCGAAUGGAAUUCGAGAUUUUCAAAAAAUGCGAUAGUCGCGGAUCGCUUAGCCACUUGGGGAAUUGCACACAAGAAGCUUUCUUUUUGGUCUUCUUUUGAUGAAUUUUCUCAGUCUGUAUCCACUGAUUAAUUAAAUAAAAAUUGCCUCAGGGCAUGUUUUCCCUAAAAAAAAAAAAAAAAAAACUCUGCUCCCAAAGAAGGGGGUUAUGAUAUUAUAUAAAUCAUAUGCAUAAAGAAAGAAAAAUAUUUACGGUUGUAAUUCUACUCCCAAAGGAGGUAUUGUGAUGUCAUAUAAAGUGUAUUUUUUAAAUUUUGGUGUGCUAAUUUUUUGUAUGCGGUAUUUUAUUGAUAAAACAUGCAAUUUAUUUUUCAGCUAUCACUUUAUCCUUUGUUCCUAUUAGUGAUUAUGUUCCUAUGCUUAAUGGUUCUAAUUGCUUAGAGUGGACAUAAUAGAUCAUUCUUACAUUAGUGUGUAUGGAUCUCGAUUUGGCUAUAAGAGAGGAUAAACCUGCUCUUCCUAUAGAUAAAAGUUGCCAUUCCAAACAGCAUUUUUACAAAAGUGGGAGCAAUCUAAUCAGCUUAAUUUAAUACAAAUGAAAGUGUGUGUCGAUAAAAAUAUUCGGAAUUCAAUUCCAUAAUGCGAGACAGCCCACGAUUUCUUGAAUGUUGUGGAGCAACAGUUUGUAAGCUCCAGUAAAGCUUUGGCGAGCACCCUAAUGAAUAAAUUGUCUUCUAUAAAGUAAUCCAGAAAUGGCUCGAUUCGUAAGCAUAUUAAGAAAAUACGAGAUAUUAUAGCGCAGCUCACUACAUUUGAAGUAACAAUCUCUAAUUCAUUUUGAGUGCACUUUAUAUUGAACUCCUUCCCAUCUGAAUAUGGACCGUUUUAGAUCUAUUAUAACACAUAUAAAGAUAAAUGGUUAAUUAAUGAAUUACUGAUCAUGCGUGUGCAAAAGGAAGGCAGAUUAAUAAAAGAGAAAUAAAAUGAGUUAACUUUGUUUCUCAAAAGAGAUAAAUAAAGCGUGCUAAGAAUGGUAAGGGCCAAAAUAUUUCAAAAAGGAAGAACACAGAAGUCUCAUUUGGUUCACAAGGCCAAUCAAGUAAUUGAACUCUUAAAUGCUUCUUUUGUAAGAAAAAAUGGUCAUAUGAAGAAGGAUUGCCAAGGUAUCAGAAAUGGCUCUAGAAGACGGGUAAGUUUCUGGUUUUGAUACAUGAAUUGCAUUUGUGGUUCUUGUGUCACAUCUCCAACGUGUUGUUGGUGAGGGAUCUUCGGGUAAUUCGCUUUACUUCCGAUGAGUGUACGUUGGUUGCAGAGGACAUAGUGUUGGAAAGUGGAAAAGAAUACCCUAUUCCUUUUGGGAGUAUCAAGAUGGGGUCGAUGUACCAUUUUUCCUUCGAGGCAAUCUCUAUAGGUCGUCUUGUGGGAAGGCUAGAGUCGUGGUCAUCUUCAACCGGUCAUAUGACUUGGAUGAUUCUCAAGCGGUACUUGUGCGGUUGAUCAUUAAGCACUCCACAUGGUGAUGUUCUAUUGUGGGCUUGGCCACCUACCAGCACUGUAACGGUACCUUGCACGACUAAGCGGUAUGAUUUGACAUGCGACCUCGGCCAUGCUACCGGAGGGUGUAAACUAUGUCCGACUUGUUACUUGAGUUUAGUUGUUAGCUUAAGGGUCGCCGUGUGCGACGGCGUAUGGAGCGGCAUGACACAUCAUGAAUGCCAAGUAGGAUUUGAUGAUCCAAUCAUAGGUGACAGGUGUCCCUAGGUCUCUUGGAAAUCGGUGUUUGUUUUUGCUGAGGGUAUUGAUCGCUAGGGUCCUUUGAGGAUGGAAGCGAUUGUCACGCCCCGGAUUACACGUUUCCCGGGCACGUCGACAAAUCCGCUGUAUACAAAGGAAUUUCCCCUAUAUACGAAGCGAUAGCGAUACCUGUAAAACAUACAAUACUACAAACAGUAGUAUAGAGCUAUAAAGAAACUAAACAGGUAGAAUAAAACAAGUCUCAUAUACAUACAUAAAAUCAUACCAAACGUACUCGCUCCAGUGAGUUACAGUAACUAUAUGUACAGGAACUCAAAAACCAAAAGUACGACUACCUGUAGUAGGGGAUCCUCUACCACCGCGACUUGUCAGGUAGGGCUCUAGCUCGCAACACUCUUGUCUCGAUCCUGAUUAGCAACAACAGCAGCCGAAGACGAUGGCUUUGCAAAAACGGGGUAACAACAGGGCGUGAGAACUACUAAAAAAACAAGUAGUCCUCAGUGGGUGCCGCCCUCAACAUCAUCGGUCCACCCACUAAGUCUACAGAAGGGAGCAAAGAUAGUAAUAAAUGCUGUGAAAGUUUUGAGGAGCCCAAGGAUCUAUCUAGAUUGUAUCUAUCACCUAGAGGGGGGUGAAUAGGUGAACGGCCAAAAAACCACAAAUCUCGAUGCAAUAAAAAUAAAUGCGGAAAAUAAAAAGCACACCGAGAUUUACGUGGGAAAACUCCAAACUCGGAGUAAAAAACCCACGGGACCAACACGCGAUAACAAUCCACUAAGAAUAAAAGAUUACAAGGUGAUUUACCGAAUCCACGGACUCAAACCUCUCUUCUAUCUUCUCCGGAUCUCGCGCACACCAACGGGUUGUCCACGCCCCACGUCCGAAUCCACGAACGCCACGUCCCGAAUCCACGAAACGUCACCACUUCGAAUUCACGAAGCCUCGAUCACGUCGAAUCCACGACGCCCACUCGAAUCCACGAGCUCACGAUCCGAAUCCACGAACCGUCUUCGUUCACGCCGAAUCCACGACGCCGUUCAUGAAGAGCAUCAUGUGUAUGGUGAUCCUUCGCUUAGGAGUAUCGUAGAAAACCAGGGAAUAGAACUCCAAGCGAAGCGGAGAUCAAAUCGACAUAUUAAUAUCAAAUUUCAAUAUCUCGAUUUGAUCUAAAAGAGGCUUUUUGUAGAAAAUAGGUUUAAGAUGAAAUCCGAGCCUCUAGGGUUUCUCAAACAUGUAUUCUUAUGAUGCUUGAUGUGUUAGAGAAGCCCAAUAGCUUAUUUAUAGACUUUAGAAUCAAUUGGAGUCGAAUUAGAAAGUUUCUUUCCAAAAACAGCACCUUGUACCGGAACAAGGAAUGUUGUCCAGGGUACACCAUGACGGAAGAUUUUUCUGCGAAGCUCCUGUACCCUGGAUAGCUUCAGCUUGUUCCGGAACAGGGCUUGUACCGGUACAGCAUGAAGCUUGUACCGGAACAACCAUCAAACUUUCUGCGCAACGUUGAUGGCUGUACCCUGGACAGAAAACCCUUGUACCGGUACAGCAAUGCAAUUUUCGCUGAAAAUGCAUUGUUUCGGAUUUUACAAACUCUUAGAAACUUUCUAAUCAAUUACAACUUGAAAAUAUGAUUCUAAGAUCUAUAAAUAAGUAUGAAUCACCAUAAACAAGAUUUAAAACUUACCUACGCAUCGUGAUUCAAGUUUUGCGUGUUUUGCGUCCUUUCCGAUUCUUCGAAGUCUUGGAUUCUUCGAUUUUCAAUACUCCGCUCCGAACUUCUUCAAGACUCCGACACGACCCACGAAACUUGCCAACACAUAGGACCUAACAAUCUCCCCCUUUGGCAAUUUCGUGACAAAACACACACAAACUCACAAAUUACAAUUUAAUGAAAAAACGAAGUUCAAUGUCAUCACCAAAACAUCGAACCCCUCGCGUGUAAUCCAAAUACAAUUUGAAACUCAAAAUUACAUCAAAAACUCCUAAAACAGACUCUAUGACUUAGACGCAACUAGGAGUCUUGAAGUCUUGAAAUCCUGCAAAACAAUUCAUUUAAAAAUGAUUAACCUUAAAUUCUUAUACCUUCUCCCCCUUUGUUCUUCACAUCUCGAUCACAUCUCCCCCUUUGUUCUUGAACUCAUCAUCCUCUGCUUAGUUCAUUGCCUGUUCAUCCAUGCUCUCCCCCUUCAUCUACGCUCUCCCCCUUUUUGUCAAAAAUUGCCAAAAGAAAGCAAAUAAAGAGAGAAAACAUACUAGAAAAACAUAAGCGUAAUCAAGUCAUAGUUACAGGCCUAAAAGAAAAAACAAGCAGAACUGAAACUAAAACAUCAUCCUAAAAUGCAAAUGCAGUGAAAGAGCUCUCUAAGCUCGACGAACGAUCUCAGAUUUCGAAAAAAUUGCUUUAAAAAUCCAUCAAAUUAAAUUAACUUCAAAUAAAUUAAGCCUUUUACUCCAAGAAUCAUUAUAAUGACAAUAAGAUAUUAUAAAAUUUCAAAAUACAUCAAAACAUCAAAAUUUUAUUAUCAAAAAUAAUUUAAUGAUUCAAAACCAUCAAGAUGUAAGUUGAUGAAAAAUGAUUUCUAGAAAUUCAACAAAAAUUGACACCAAUUUGUCGUAACACACUCAAAAUAGAGAUUUAACUAAUAUGAUACUGGGGGUGGCUCUUUGAGCAUCUUUUUAUCUUACCACCUUAUAAUUCCGAAAAUUCUAAAAUAUUCAAUUUUUUUCAACCCUUUUCGAUUACCCAAUUUAAUCUCCAUGUGGUAGCUUCACACACUUGCCGGACGACCGGGGUGGUAGCUCUUUCCUACGUGUGGUGGUAGUUUUCACACUCCUUUUAGGAUGUAACUCUUUCCACAUAUUUUUAAACAUAUAGGAGUUUCUUUUUCUCAUUUUUUUUUAUUUUUAAACAAUUUCAAACUGCCCCUAAAUUAGACAAUCUCACAGUUGAAAAUAAUUUUGACGAAUUUUAGUCAAUUAGAGAAUACCCAUUCAUCAUAUCCAACACUCACAACCAAGAUGAAUUAAUCACCAAAAAAUCAAAUUUGAUUUCAAAAUUUUGAUGAAUUUAUGCAAUAAGAAAUCAUAUAAUAUAUUAUCGUCAAAAUAAUAAAUAGUGGGGUAAAGACGAUAAUUAAUAUGAAUUUACCUUAAUAUGAUUGUGAAGAUUAAACCCGUUUAACCAAUCUUUAAAAAAAAACUUUCUCUCCAAAAACGAUUCUCAAUCAUCUCCUUUCUCAAAGAUUUAAAUUUCCAAACACCUUUCCUCAAAUCAAUUUAAAAAAAACUUUUACACACGAGAAUCAUCAUGUAAUGCAAUGAAUAAAAGAUAUGCAACUAACACCAAUCAAAGCAUUACACUAAAGAUCAAAAUGACUAAGACGAGGAGCAAGGAAAGAUAUCACCUUUCCGGAUCCAAACUUGUCGGAUCUUUGGUUUUCUCGGCUUGUCGACGUUAGGUUCCGUUUGUUUAGACUUUUGAUCAACCGUUGGUGGUUUCUUCGGUUGAGACUUCGGUUGAUUUUGUCGUUGAGGAUUAGACAUCCGGUUUGUAUAAACUUGACGUUGACAUUGUGUGCUAGAAAACCGGUUCUUUUGAGAUACUCGACUCACUUGAUUUUUCUUUUGAUUCCGCGGGGGAAGUCGAGUUGUAGAUGAAGCCGAUGGAUGUUUUGAAAUUGCCAAUUGUGACUUGCCAUUUUUGUUCGGGCAAUUCCUUUUGAUGUGUCCUUUGAUGCCACAUCGAUGACAUUCCUUUUCUUUUGAAGUUGUUGAGACUUUAGAAGUUGAUAUUGAAUCCUUCUCAACGUAUGUGCGUUCAUAUCCAAGACCCAAUUUGCUCGUUUGACCCAAUCCAAGCAUUUUGUCCAACUUCUUUGAUCCCGAAGAAAAUUGUUGAAGAUCGGAUUGGAGUUGACGAACUUGAUCGGUCAAGACUUGAUUGGACUUGUGCGAUUCAUCAAAUUGUUGCUCCAAAAAUCCAAUCUUGUCGUUAGAAGAUUUGAUCGUUGAUUCCGCAUCAUUAAGCUUCUCUUGGAGGUCCGAAUUAAUCUUCAAGCUUGAAUCCCUUUCCUCCUCAAGAACCUUAUUCAAAUUCUUUACGUUGUUGUUUUCCUCCUCAAGUUCCAACAAACGACGUCUCAACUUCUUGUUGAGUUUAGCCAUCUUCUUUGAUUCAAUGAGAAGUUGAUUGUACGCUUCCGCUAUGUCGUCGUCGUUUGAUUCCUCUUCACUUUCGCCAUUGUUGCUCGAUGAAUCAUGUGAAGAAAGAGAAAUAUUGGAGUUAGUAGCAAAAGAGGAUAAACACACAACAUUCGACGAAGGAGUAUUAGCAAAUAAAGCAAUUUGAUCAUUCUUUUCUUCGUCACUUGACGAUGAUUCACUUGAUGUUGAAUCAUCCCACGUCUUUGCUUGCAUAGCCUUUUGUCUAUACGUCUUCUUUGAAGGACAAUCCGUCGCAAUGUGGCCGUAGCCUUUGCACUUGAAGCAUUGGAUCUCGCCUUCAAAGACAUCCUUUUCUUUCGAAGCCUUUGCACGCUUCUUCUCCUUAGAUGUAGACGAUGAAGAUUUAGACGAUGAAGCCUUGUCCGAUCUAUUCUUCUUUCGAAAAUUCCGACGAAACUUCUUCGUGAGAAGCGCCAAUUGUUGUUCAAAGUCCGCAAUUGAUAAAUCAUCGUCGGAACUCGAGUCUUCGUCCUUCUCCUUUGUAGAUUUCAAUGCAACACCUGUGCUUUUAGAAGAAGACUUGGAAGAAGAUUGAUUAGUAGGAAAAGUCAUUUCAUACGUUUGUAAAGCACCUACUAAUUCUUCGACUUUCAUCUCGUCCGGAUGUUUGACCGUUUCGAUCGCGGCUACUUUAGCCCGAAAACGUUCCGGAAGAGUGCGAAGGAUUUUCCUAACAACCUUUGAAUCCGGGAUUUUCUCUCCCAAGUUAGCACAUGUGUUCACAACAUCUUGUAGACGUGUAUAGUACUCGGUAAAGGUCUCAUUUUCGUCCAUAGAAAUUGAAUCAAACUUGCUAGUUAGCAUUUGCAAUUUUUGGACCUUUACUAAGCUCGUUCCUUCAUGCGUAACUUGUAGAGUAUCCCAAAUUUCCUUUGCCGUUUCGCAAGCCGAAACACGAGUAAACUCCGUUUGAGACAAUGCAUUAAAUAAAGCGUUUAUGCCCUUGCCGUUAAACGAAGAUGUCUCGUUUUCUUCUUUUGUCCACUUGUUCCGUGGUUUUGGCUUUUCAACAUUAUCGACCUUUUCUAUCGGAUGUUUCCACCCAAAUUCAAUUGAUUGCCAAACCCGCUCAUCGAUAGCAAUUAGAAAAGCUCUCAUGCGAACUUUCCAAUAGGCAUAAUUCGUGCCGUCGAAGAGCGGAGGUCGAUUAAUGUUACCACCUUCGGCCAUUAGAUAACAAUUUAUCUAGAUCCCGCUCUGAUACCAAUUGAAAGUUUUGAGGAGCCCAAGGAUCUAUCUAGAUUGUAUCUAUCACCUAGAGGGGGGUGAAUAGGUGAACGGCCAAAAACCACAAAUCUCGAUGCAAUAAAAAUAAAUGCGGAAAAUAAAAAGCACACCGAGAUUUACGUGGGAAAACUCCAACUUGGAGAAAAACCCACGGGACCAACACGCGAAAAAAUAAUUCACUAAGAGAAAAGAUUACAAGGUGAUUACCGACUCCACGGACUCAACCUCUCUUAACCUCCUAUGAAUCUUCGCGCUACCCUCCGGGUUGUCCACGCCCUCACGUCCGAAUCCACGAACGCCUCCACUUCGAAUCCACGAAGCUUCAAUCACGCCGAAUCCACGACGCCACUCGAAUCCACGAGCCCACGAUCCGAAUCCACGAACCGCCGUCAAAUACGCCGAAUCCACGACGCCACCAUGAAGAAUAUCAUGAAUAUGGUGAUCCUUCGCUUUGGAGUAUCGUAGAAAACCAGGGAAUAGAACUCCAAGCGAAGCGGAGAUCAAAUCGACAUAUUAAUAUCAAAUUUCAAUAUCUCGAUUUGAUCUAAAAGAGGCUUUUUGUAGAAAAUAGGUUUUUGAUGAAAUCCGAGCCUCUAGGGUUUCUCAAAUAUGUAUUUUCGUGAUGCUUAAUCAGUUAGAGAACCCCUAUAGCUUAUUUAUAGACUUUAGAAUCAAAACAGAGUAGGAUUAGAAAGUUUCUUUCCAAAAUCAGCACCUUGUACCGGAACAAGGAAAGCUGUCCAGGGUACACCAUGACGGAAGAUUUUUCUGCGAAGCUCCUGUACCCUGGAUAGCUUCAGCUUGUUCCGGAACAGGGCUUGUACCGGUACAGCAUGAAGCUUGUACCGGAACAACCAUCAAACUUUCUGCGCAACGUUGAUGGCUGUACCCUGGACAGAAAACCCUUGUACCGGUACAGCAAUGCAAUUUUCGCUGAAAAUGCAUUGUUUCGGAUUUUACAAACUCUUAGAAACUUUCUAAUCAAUUACAAUUUGAAAAUAUGAUUCUAAGAUCUAUAAAUAAGUAUGAAUCACCAUAAACAAGAUUUAAAACUUACCUACGCAUUGUGAUUCAAGUUUUGCGUGUUUUGCGUCCUUUCCGAUUCUUCGAAGUCUUGGAUUCUUCGAUCUUCAAUACUCCGCUCCGGACUUCUUCAAGACUCCGACACGACCCACGAAACUUGCCAACACAUAGGACCUAACAUGCUGGAAUAAAAUCUACAGCUACGCGUUAUUACACUAUCAUGCUCUAAACUAACCUACUGUAGAAAAGUCAAUCCUGACUCAAUCUCUUUAGGGACUGUAAACAUACCCAUCCCAGGGACUGUGAAUACGCCCGUUUCGCCCAGUUGGGACUAUCCAGCUACCUCCACACUAUCCAGUCCGUGGAGAGCAAGUCCAACCGGCAAUGAACGACACCAACGCGAAAGCACAGCGCCCGUCUCCGGAGUGGCACUCGUGGGAACUACCCAACCGAGUAUGUAGCGUAUCUCUGUCGAGCUCAAUUCGGCUCUCACAAGCCAAAGUAAAAUAACCGACUCUAACUGAUCUUACAACCAACAGGUCAUGUACCCUCGGCACAAUCCGACGCCAAAACAGCGAUAUGGGUCCACCGUCAACCCCGACGGCACCCCAACAGUCCGGAACAGUCUGAAUGUUACUAUAAAAAUAUGCUAGGCAUCUCAGCACGGGCGUAACUGAACUCUAAACUACCUGAGGUAUCCAUCACACCAAUACUGUGAUGAUACCAAUUUACAACGGCUCCUAGAGCUAAAAAAGGUAGUGUAAAUAGGUGACAGGUCCAACUCGCUGGUUUUCUCCUAUGUCAAGUCUAAGUCCAACAUGUAUAAUUACUAACAAUUAAUAACAUGCUCCAAAUUCCAUUCAUAUGUCUAAAAUAUGCAACAACAUGAAUUUGAGCUAAAACUAUAGUAACGUAUACACACUAAUUAUACAUGUCGACAACGGGACUCUAGGAGUAGGAAUCCGAUGAUAACCCACCUCAAAAGCUAAUCCCCGGCAGCGAAGAAGGUCACCGGAGUUCCUGCCAAGCUCGGCUACAACCCACCGAACCAGCAACAACAACGCUCCAAGGAUCUAGACUUGGAAACCCACAAUAAACACCAAUUCUGCUCAAAACAACAGUAGAAAAGAGAAACAGGGUUUCGACCAAACUAACUUUCACCAAAUUUAGUAAUCUUGGACUUUGUGGAUUCCUCUCGAAGUCCUGAAUCCAACGAACCAAGUUUCGUAGUAAUCCGACACUCCUACGUCGCGUACGAGCUGAAACACCGACAGUCGACGCUGUAAUUCUGUAAAAUAGCAUCCUUGAGCUUGAAGUAGUAAGGACUUGCAAUGGUUGGAGGAACUUGAUGAACAUCUCACCUCAAAUGUUAUUCGAACUCAGGCACGACGUCGAGAACGGCGAAAACGCACCCUCGCCCGGCCUCUACGCGAUGCUAUGACGGCAACCGUACGCUCAAACGGCUCCGCGACGCGACGUCGGCGACGAUCCGAGCUCCACGGCAACUCCACUCGAGCUCCUCCUUGCUCAACCAAUGCUAGAGAGAGAGAUGGAGAAGAAACCAGUAAACUAUCUCUCUCUCUCUCAGCUCUACACGUACAUAAAUAGAGAGGGAUGGGAUGGGUGAUACAUACGAGACUCAAAAUUACCAAAAUGCCAUCUCACCUACCCUGGUGUACCGGUACACGGCCCCGUGUACCGGUACUAGAAGCCAACCCGAGAGCAGUCUGCGCGCAGCCUGUACAGUGUACCGGUACACCAUGCUGACUGUACGGUACAGUAAGUAGAAAAAUCUGCUAUUUGCAUAUUCUCUUGCAAAAUGCUGCUCUCGCGUCGCAUAGAGUCCGUUUUGCGUCUAUUUCAUGCAAACGCGACUCAGACUUGCCCCGACACUCUCCAUAGCUGUCAACAAGCCUUAACUGCUAAACACCAGGGAUCUCACAUUCUCCUCCACUACAAAAAGUUUCGUCCUCGAAACUUAAACAUACCUCAGCUCUGGGCAUCGAAUAGAUAGGGAUAGGACUCCCUCAUCAUCGUCUCAAGCUCCCAAGUCGCCUCCCGCUCCUCGUGAUUACUCCACUGCACCUUUACAUACGGGAUGACCCGAUUGCGCAAUUCUUUCGUCUCCCGAGUAAGAAUCCGCAACGGUCGCUCCUCGUAUCUUAGAUCCUCGCCAAUCUCAAGUGGAGUAAAGUCAAUCACGUGAGAAGGAUCAAAAAUAUAUCUCCUCAAUGCUGAGACGUGAAAGACAUCGUGAAUGCCAGCUAGUCGCGGGGGUAGAGCGAUCUUGUAUGCAACUGGUCCCACUCGCUCCAAUACCUCGAAAGGGCCAACAAAACGUGGACUGAGCUUUCCACGUACUCCAAAUCGACGAAUCCCUCUAGACGGUGAGACUUUGAGGAAUAGAUGAUCUCCAAUAUGAAACUCUAAGUCUCGUCUCCGGGUAUCGGCGUAGCUCCUCUGGCGGCUCUGGGCUGUCAAAAGGUGCCGUUGAACAACUUUCACCUUUUCCUCAGCCUCAAGCAAAAUCUCAGGCCCAAGCGUCUUCCUCUCACCCACAUCACUCCAACACAAAGGGAAUCGACAUCUGCGUCCAUACAACGCCUCAAACGGAGCCAUCCGGAUGCUCGCUUGAUAGCUGUUGUUGUAUGCAAACUGAGCCAGUCUCAAAUGUCGAUACCACCCUCCUCCAAAAUCGAGGAUACAAGCUCUCAGCAUGUCCUCUAGAGUCUGAAUGGUCCGCUCUGACUGACCAUCUGUCUGUGAGUGAAACGCCGCGCUGAACUGCAGCUGUGUACCCAAAGCUGUCUAUAGACUCCUCCAAAAGUAUAAUACAAACCUCGGAUCCCUGUCUGAUACAAUCGACACCGGCACACCAUACAACAUGACAAUCUCAUCCAGGUAUAACUAUGCGAGUCUCUCUCUGGACCAGGUGGUCUGAACCGGUAAGAAGUGAGCAGACUUGGUCAGUCUGUCCACUAUCACCCAAAUCACAUCAUAACCACUCUGCGCUCUAGGCAAUCCCACGACGAAAUCCAUUGUAAUCUGCUCCCACUUCCACUCGGGCACUGGUAGACUCUAAAGCUUGCGAGCAGGUACCUGGUGCUCAGCUUUCACCUGUUGGCAAGUCAGACACUAAGCCCCAAAUCUUCCAAUGUCUCUCUUCAUUCCAUUCCACCAGAACUGUGCCUUUAAAUCCUUAUACAUCUUGGUUUCCCCAGGGUGAACCGUAUAAGAUGAACAAUGAGCCUCUCUCAAAAUGUCCUAUCGGAUCCCUGAAUCCAUAGGCACACACAGUCGGUCCCUGUACCGUAGUACUCCCGAACUGUCCACAGCAAAAUCCUCAGACUGUCCUCUCUCCAACCGCUCUCGAAUCCUAUCCAACAAAGUGGGCUACAAGACCAUAAACAUCAGUCUUGCCGUAGACCCAGGGGACACUAUCUCGAGCCUCAGCUGCUGUAGCUCCUCGAGUAAUGGUCUCUGCUGUGUGAUCAUCAAACUCAGGUUCUGCACUGCCUUCCUACUCAACGCAUCUGCCACUACAUUCGCCCUGAUGAUACUGAAUACUAAUGUCAUAAUCCUUCAGUAACUCCAACCAUCGGCGCUGCCUCAGAUUCAAUUCUCUUUGAGUGAACAGAUACUUGAGACUUUUAUGAUCGACAAAAAUCUCGCAGUGCUCGCCGUACAAGUAAUGCCGCCACAACUUUAACGCAAAGACUACCGCGGCAAGCUCCAAGUCAUGUGUAAGGUAAUUCUUCUCAUAUUCCUUUAACUGCCGUGAAGUAUAAGCAAUUACCCUACCAUGCUGCAUCAGUACACAACCCAGUCCAGUGUGCGAUGCUUUACUGUAGAUCACAAAUCCUUCCCCCAUUACAGGAAGGGCAAGGAUAGGAGCUGACGUCAACCUCUGUCUCAACUCAUCAAAGCUCCUCUGACCAUCCUCACUCGAGAUGAAUCUAAUUCCCUUUCGCGUCAAUCGAGUGAGGGGUGUGGAAAGCUUCGCAAAGCCUUUCACAAACUGACGGUAAUAUCCUGCAAGUCCCAGGAAUCUCCGCACCUCAGUUACAGUCGUCGGUCUGGGCCAACCCCGAAUAGCAUCAAUCUUCUUCGGGUCAACUGCUACUUCCUCUGCUGAUAUCACAUGGCCCAAGAAAGCAACCUCCCGUAACCAGAACUCGCACUUCUUUAACUUGGCAUACAACUUCUUCUCUCUCAGAAGCUGUAGCACAGUCCUCAAGUACUCUUCGUGCUCGGCAUCGCUCCGGGAGUAUAUCAGAAUGUCAUCGGUGAAGACUACUACAAAUCUAUCCAAGAACGGCUUGAACACUCUGUUCAUCAAAUCCAUGAAUGCGGCAGGGGCAUUCGUCAAUCCAAAAGGCAUCACCGUAAACUCGUAAUGCCCGUACCGAGUCCGAAAAGCUGUCUUGGGAACAUCCUCAGCCCUCACCCUCAGCUGGUGGUAACCUGACUGGAGAUCAAUCUUCGAGAAGGCACAAGAUCCUUGCAGCUGAUCAAACAGAUCAUCAAUGCGCGGCAGAGGAUACUUGUUCUUGAUGGUCACUUUAUUCAGCUCACGGUAAUCUACACACAACCUGAGCGAACCAUCCUUCUUCUUUACAAACAACACAGGUGCUCCCCAAGACGACACACUGGGUCUCACAUAUCUCUUAUCUAUCAAAUCCUGAAGCUGCGCCUUUAGCUCUCUCAGCUCCGCCGGUGCCAUCCUAUAAGGUACCUUCGAGAUUGGUGCAGUUUCAGGAACUAUAUCAAUCGCAAACUCUAUCUCCCUCUCCGGCGGCAUCGUAGUCAUCACUGGGGGAAACACAUCCGGAAACUCAUGGACUAUAGAAAUAUCCUCGAGUCCCAGAGCCACCGUAGGUACCUCUGUAACAGUCGCCAGGAAAGCAACGCAUCCUCUACUCAUCAGCUGUCGAGCCCUCGCUGAAGAUAUCCAGGUGGCAAACAACGUACUCCGGCAGCCUCUAAAAGUAAACUCCUUCUGGCCUUGCUCGCGAAACGUCAUCGUCCUCGCUCCACAAUCUAUCGUAGCAUAGUACCGCGCCAGCCAAUCCAUAUCGAGCACAACGUCGAAGUCCUGCAGCUACCCUAACACCAACAGGUCUGCGGGCAUGAUCCACGAAUCUAACUGCACCGGACACGACCAGCAACACUCUGCAACCUGUAAAACAUGGUUCGGGAUCUGCACCUCUCGUGCCUGUGAUAAUACUCCUAAAUCUAGACCAUGCAAUAAUACAAAUACUCGGCUAACAAACCAAUAAGAUGCACCGGUAUCAAAGAGAGUGCAAACUCUAAUGCCAGAAAUCAAAGUGAUACCUGCCACCACUCAUUCGGCCACUGUAGAGUCCUCCACCUGAGCUGCGUAGACUCUGCCACUCGGAGCCUGCUGUCGCUGCUCACCCUGACGCGGCACAGACGAUCUGUCCUCCUAGCGAUAACUUGGCACUCCUCCAAAAGACUGUUGGGGUGCUGGCUGAGCUGAUACAGUGGAGGGUGCUGGAGAAGCUGCAUGUGGGCACCCUGAUCUCAUAUGCCCGGGCUGACCACAACUGUAACACCUGCCCUCUCUUUGCUCACACUGCCGGGGCCAGUGUGGUUCCCCGCAGAUCACACACUGCGGUGUCCUCUUAGUCUGUCCCUACUGACAGGAUCCCCUGAAACGUUGACACCCUGAAGAACCAUGACCCUGAGAACAUGAUCGUGGAGGUCUUGGCGGACGUCUGCUACUCGACUGUCCUCCGUCAUCGGGAAAGAGGCGCUUCCUGUCCUGACUCUGCCCCACUGCUUGAGUCCUCUCCUACAGCGACACCUCACCUCUCUCCACCCAUAAGGUCUGCUCUAUGAACGCAUCCAGGGUUCUCGACCUCAGCGCCCGUACCAACCUGAAGAUGUCGGGUCUCAGCCCCUACUCAAACAGAUAAACCUUGUGUGCCUCGUCCCUGGCCACAAACGGCACACAGUUCAGGAGUCGAGUAAACUCCCGAAUGUACUCCUGCACUGGCCGAUCCCCCUGCUGAAUCCUCUUCAAAUCCUCCUCGAACUUCUGUUUCACACUGUUGGAAAAAUACAUCUCAAAUAGCAUUCCACAGAACUCAUCCCAUCUCAGCUGCAACGCUACCAGUCCUUAAUCUCGUUUCACUCUCCUCCACCAGGCGUGUGCAUUGCCUGCAAAGCAGUGUACUCCCAAAGAUACCUGCUCCCUCUCAGGGGCGAACAAAUCCUCGAAUAGCUUCUCCAUCGCACUGACCCAGCCCUCCACAACCCAGGCCUCAGUGCAACUGCCAUCGAAGGUCGGUGGAUCAAAACAGCAAAAACGAGCCAACCUCUCUGUCAACCGCUCGUGCUCGACCUCUAUCAACUGUACUGGCCCAGUAGCAGGUACAACUAGCGCUGCAGGAAGCUCCACUGGUGGGGGUAUAGCUGCGGUUGGUGCUGUCACUGGAGUAGUCGGAGGUGCAACGGCCUGCUCAGGUGCUUUCGGUACUGUACUCGGUGACGGAGCUACCCUCUCACACAACCUCUCCAACAACUCCUUCUGUCGUCUCAUCGCCUCUGUCAAGGCAGCUAGCUGUGCGCUCAGAUCAGGGGGUGUGCUAGCCUCAGGUCGCGCACUCGGCUCCACAAUAGGAGGUACACUCGUCUCCGCCUGCUCCGGCAUCUCGGAAGGUCCCGCACGAUCCUGCGUCAACUGAGCACGCUCCCGUAACAACGGUCGACCUCAGCGACGAUACAUAGCUAAAAGGAACAGAUCGGGGUGAAAUAAAAUACAAACACUCUCGACCCAAUCAACGAAAGUCUGGAAGGCGGGCUCCUGUUUUUCUUCAAAAUUAUAUCGUCUGCAGCCAAUACAAUUUCUCAGACCAAAACAGGCACUACUUCAAUCACUCACCCCACUCUAGGAGGAGUUAGAAUAAUUAAUCAUUGACUUUCGCAGUAAAUUACGUCUCUCGCGCCUUACCUUCCUACGGUUUGCCAACCUAGGUUUCCUAGGUCCCAACGACCUACAACCUGGCUCUGAUACCAACUUAAUCUGUCACGCCCCGGAUUACACAUUCUCCGGGCACGCCGACAAAUCCGCCGUAUACAAAAAAUUUCUUCUAUAUACGAAGCGAUAGCUGUACCUGUAAAACAUACAAUACUACAAACAGUAGUAUAGAGCUAUAAAGAAACUAAACAGGUAGAAUAAAACAAGUCUCAUAUACAUACAUAAAACCAUACCAAACGUACUCGCUCCAGCGAGUUACAAUACCUGUAUGUAUAUGAACUCAAAAACCAAAAGUACGACUACAUGUAGUAGGGGAUCCUCUAUCACCGCGACUCGUCGGGUAGGGCUCUAGCUCGCAACGCCCUUGCCUCGAUCCUGAUUAGCAACAGCAGCAGCCGAAGACGAUGGCUCAGCAAAAACGGGGCAACAACAGGGAGUGAGAACUACUGUAAAAACAAGUAGUCCUCAGUGGGUGCCGCCCUCAACAUCAUCGGUCCACCUACUAAGUCUACAGAAGGAAGCGAAGAUAGUAAUAAAUACUGGAAUAAAAUCUACAGCUACGCGUUAUUACACUAUCAUGCUCUAAACAUACCUACUGUAGAAAAGUCAAUCCCGACCCAAUCUCUUUACGGACAGUAAACAUACCCGUCCUAGGGACUGUGAAUACACCCGUCUCGCCCAGUUGGGACUAUCCAGCUACCUCCACACUAUCCAGUCCGUGGAGAGUAAGUCCAACCAACAAUGAACGACACCAACGUGAAAGCACAGCGCCCGUCUACGGAGUGGCACUCGUAGGAGCUACCCAAUCGAGUAUGCAGCGUAUCUCUAUCGAGCUCAAUCCGGCUCUCACAAGCCAAAGUUAAGUAACUGACACUAACUGGUCUAACAACAAACAGGUCAUGUGCCCUCGGCACAAUCCGAUGCCAAAACAACGAUAUAGGUCCACCGUCGACUCCGACGGUACCCUAACAGUCUGGAACAGUCUGAAUGCUACUGUAAAAAUACGCUAGGCAUCUCAGCACGAGCGUAACUGAAUUCUAAACUAUCUGGGGUAUCCAUCACACCAAUACUGUGAUGAUACCAAUUUACAACGACUCCUAGAGCUAAAUCAGGUAGUGUAAACAGGUGACAAGUCCAACUCGCUGAUUUUCUCCUAUGUCAAGUCCAAGUCCAACAAGUAUAAUUACUAACAAUUAAUAACAUGCUCCAAAUUCCAUUCAUAUGUCUAAAACAUGCAACAACAUGAAUUUAAGCUAAAACUAUAGUAACGUAUACAUACUAAUUAUACAUUUCGACAACGGGACUCUAGGAGUAGGAAUCCGAUGAUAACCCAUCUCAAAAGCUAAUCCCUGGCAGCAAAGAAGGUCACCGGAAUCCCUGCCAAGCUCGGCUGCAACCCACCGAACGAGCAACAACAACACUUCAAGGAUCUAGACUUGGAAACCCACAAUAAACACCAAUUCUGCUCAAAAUAAUAGCAGAGAGAAAUAGGGUUUCGACCAAGCUAACCUUCACCAAAUUUAGCAAUCUUGGGCUUCUUGAAUUCCUCUCGAAGUCCUGAAUCUAACGAACCAAGUUUCAUCGCAAUCCGACACUCCUACGUCGCGUACUAGCUGAAACACCGACAGUCGACGCUGGAAUUCUGUGAAACAGCAUCCUUGAGCUUGAAGUAGUAAGGACUUGCAAUGGUUGGGGGAACUUGAUGAACAUCUCACCUCAAAAGUUAUUCGAACUCCAGCGUGACGUCGAGAACGGUGAAAACGCACCCUCGCCCAGCCUCCACGCGAUGCUACGACGGCAACUGUACGCUCAAACGGCUCCGCGGCUUGACGUCGGCGACGAUCCGAGCUCCACGGCAACUCCACUCGAGCUCCUCCUUGCUCAACCAAUGCUAGUGAGAGAGAUGGAGAAGAAACCAGUAAACUCUCUCUCUCUCUCUCUCUCUCUCUCUCUCUCUCAGCUCUACACGUACAUAAAUAGAGAGGGAUGGGAUGGGUGAUACAUCGAGGCUCAAAAUUACCAAAAUGCCAUCUCACCUACCCUGGUGUUCCGGUACACGGUCCCGAGAGCAGUCUGCGCGCAGCCUUUGUAGUGUACCGGUACACUAUACUGGCUGUACCGGUAUAGCAAGCAGAGAAACCUACUGUUUGCAAAUUCUCUUGCCAAAUGCUGCUCUCGCGUCGCAUAGAGUCCGUUUUGCGUCUAUUUCACGCCAACGCUACUCAGACUUGCCCCGACACUCUCCAGAGCUGUCGACAAGCCUUAACUACUGAACAACAGGGAUAUCACAGUGAUGGGGUUUCAUAGAGACAAAUUUAGGACACAUUGUGACUCAGUUGGGCAUCACUGUGGAUCCGAAGAAGAUAGACUCGGUAGCUGAGUGGCCUGCACCAACCACUGUGAUUGAGGUCACGAGUUUGCUUGGUUUGGCGGGUUAUUAUUGGGAAUUUGUCAACGGCUUUGCCAAGAUCGCCGCACCGCUGAACAGGCUGACCAAGAGAGGAGAAAGAUUCUGGUGGACUACACAGUGUCAGCAGAGCUUUGAUGAGCUGAAUGAUAGAUUGACUCGAGCACCCAUUUUGAUUCUGCCGCGGCCUAGUGAGGACUUCGUGGUCUAGUGCGAUGCCUUACGAGUUGGUUUGGGGUGUGUUCUUAUGCAGCAGGAUCGGGUCAUUGCCUAUGCUUUACGCCAGCUGAAGGAUUACGAAAGGAAUUACCCGGCUCACGAUCUGGAGCUCACGGCAGCAAUGUUUGCCCUUAAGCUUUGGAGGCAUUAUCUAUAUGGGGCACAAUGUGAGGUAUUCACUGAUCACCUAAGCCUAAAGUAUCUCUUCACCGAGAAGGAGUUGAACCUUAGGCAGAGACGUUGGCUCGAGUUCUUGACGGACUAUGACUUCUCUAUCCAGUAUCAUCUGGGAAAGGCGAAUGUUGUAGCUGACGCCUUGAGUCAGAAACAGUCAUCAGCCGAGUUGUCUUUCAUGAUUACGAGACAAGAUCGUCUUGUGGAGGAGUUCCACCGCCUCGAGAUUGAGGUUGUUCCCACUGGGGCCACGGCUGAAUUGAUGACCCUGGUGGUACAGCCUAUAUUGACUGAGCAGAUUAUGCUAGGGCAGCAGAGUGACCCGCACUUGCAGAAGGUGUUGGCGGAGAUCAAGAAUGGUAAGGACGGGGACUUCUCUAUUCACACCGAUGGAUCUCUUCGUUUCAAAGGCAGGUGGUGCGUGCCUAGUGACUCGGAGCUGAGGAAAGAUAUCCUAUCCGAGGCGCUUCGAUCCCUUUACACGGUUUAUCCCGGUGGAACCAAGAUGUAUCGCGACCUGAAGCAGAAUAUCUGGUGGCCUGGGAUGAAGUUAGAUGUGGCACAGCAUGUGGCUCAGUGCUAGGUUUGUCAACAGAUGAAGGCCGAGCACCAACGACUAGCAGGAAAGUUGCAACCACUUCUGUGCCUGUAUGGAAGUGGGAGCAGAUUACUAUGGAUUUCGUCAUCGGAUUGCGUCUAUCACAGUGGGGCCAUGAUGCGAUCUGUGUAAUAGUAGAUCGGCUGACGAAAUCGGCUCACUUCUUGCCGAUGCACGCCAUAUGGUCCCGUGAUCGACUGGCAUAAUUAUACAUCGACGAGAUCGUUCGACUUCAUAGUGUGCCGGUGUCGAUUGUGUCAGAUCGGGACGCUCGCUUCGUAUUCUAGUUUUGGAGGAGCUUACAACAUGCCAUGGGUACGAAGACGAACUUCAGUAUGGCUUUCCAUCCCCAGAGUGAUGGUCAGUCAAAGCGAGUCGUUCAGACUCUUGAGGACGUGGUCCGCACAUGCGUCCUGGAUUACGGUGAUGGAUGGUUCCGGUCUCUACUACUAGUGGAGUUCACUUAUAAUAACAGAGACCAAGCGAGUAUCGAGAUGGCACCGUACGAGGCUCUGUAUGGGCAUCGAUGUUGGUCUCCUAUCUGUUGGGACGACGUCAGAGAACGCCAAGUGAUUUGGCCAAACUUGGUAGAGGAUGCAGAGGUGAAAAUCUGCAUUGCUAGAGAGCGGCUUUUGACUGCACGAGUCGACAGAGGAGCUACGCGGAUCAGCGGAGGCGUGACCUGGAGUUUCAGGUCGGUGAGCAUGUGCUGCUCAAGAUAUCGCUAUUCAGGGAGAUCAAGCUAUUCGGUUUGCGGAACAAGCUUAGUCCGCGAUUUGUUGGGCUGUUUGAGAUCCUGGAGCGUGUUGGUCCGGUGGCGUACAGAUUGGCUCUUCCUCCAAGUCUCGCCUGGGUGCACAAUGUUUUUCACAUGUCCAUGCUUCAGAAGUAUAUCCCAGAUCUAUCCUACGUCAUCAGUCCGACAUCUAUACAGCUCAGGGAGGAUCUGAGUUACGAUGAGGCUCCGUUGCAGAUAUUGGCACGUGAGAUAAAACAAUUGCGGAACAUGAGCAUUCCGUAUGUGAAGGUUCAGUAGAAAAAUCAUGAGGAACGAGAGGCCACGUGGGAGCUUGAGUCUUCUAUGCAGGAGCGAUAUCCAUAGUUGGUUGCGGGGGAUACUUGAUUAAGUUUCAGGGAUGAAACUUCUUGUAAGAGGGGGUGAUGUAAUAUCUGAGAUUUGAAUAAAGAAAUUCUAGUUUGAAUUUUGAAUUUUAUAUAUAUAUAUAUAUAUGGUUAUAUAGGUGGACUUCGGAGAGGAUGGGUUUCGUCGCAAAUCGGUGACCAAAUCUGGCGAAACAAAAUAGUAGUUUCGAUGCCCCAGUCGUGCUGAACGUGCUGGCGCAAUUCGUUUACAAAUCCGAUGGACAGAUCUCCUGAUAUCGCGUGAAGAUCGAGAAGGGGACGAAAGUGGCAAAAUGGAAAAUCCACAAAACUCCCUAUAUUUUAUGUACCGUUUUACGUGAUUUCGAACGUCGAGGUGCGUACGUGGUAAAUACACGCGCUGUGAGGGACGUAGUUAAAAUAAUCAUCUUUGGCGGACUAUCAAGCAAAAUUACACUUGGUUUAAAUUGGCAUUUAGGGUUUCAUGGAUGAAACCCUAACCCUAGAUACCUUCCUCCCUUAGCUAACCCCCUGCCACCCUUAGCACAUCCCCCUGUCCUAGCUGCGCGCACCUUAGCUGCCUGCGCACGCCGCUGGCCGUCGGAAUCCGCCCCUUUACCUUCUCCAUCAUCUUCUCCACCACCUUCCUCCACCUUUGUCCGAGCAGCAAUCUCGAGGGCCUCUCACCUACUGGCUCCUCCCCUGGCCGUGCUCCGACCCCCGUCGACCUUCCCCACCGGUUACCGCCAUCCCCGCGCGCCGCCAUUGCUGGCAUGGCAGCCUGUGGCCAAUCAAAGCCAGCUCGAGCCCAGGUAGCUUUAGCUCCUGGCCUUCGCGCCGCGGUAGCUUAGGACCUCCUGGGUUGCCCUUUUCCGACCUCCGGCGACCUCCCCCGCUGAUUGCCGCCAUCCCUGCACGCCGCCGCUGCCGCCCUGGCAACUUGUGGCCACUUGGAGCAAGCUCGGGCCGAGGCUGAGUCAUCUCCACUCCCACGCACCGCCGCCGCCUGGGGCCAACCGCAUUGCCUCCCUCCGGCCUCCAGCGACCUAUCGCCGUCGCCUCUGAGCGCCCCGCCGGCCGCCGUAGCUCCCUUAACCCGAGCCCUAGCAGUGCGGGCUCACCUUGCUCCGCUGCCUCUCCAGCUACCUCCAGCUGUUGGUUGACGCGAGCGCCGUCCUCCCCACACUGGCCGCAACCGCUUGCUACCGGCGCUCCCGCCGUCCGGCCGUUAUCGGCCAACCCAAGCUCCAGUAACCAAGUAAGCUUUGUUUAAGCUGUUCUGUGCAUCGCUUCGGGUUCGGGUCGCUGUUCCGGCGACCCGAGGGCACCCCGAUGCUUCUGGAUGUGAGCACGACAAUCCUUAAUCAGUGCUAAUCAUCGUGCUCAUCUUCUUUGGGGUCAGCAAGCCCCGGUUUGCGAGUUAAGCGCAGUUUAGGUUCAGCGCACAGUUCGCUAAAUUUUGUGUCGCUCCUACGCUCUCCACAGUGGACGGCCAUGCUCCAGAUCGUGAGCAUCGCCUCCGGCAUGUCAAGACCUAUCAGCAUGUGUCUCGGCCAGCCUCGAAAACCCUUGGUUUGUGCUGCCUGGCCAUAAAACCUCAAAAAUCACAUAAAAUAAUAUGAUUUAUGUGAUUGUAGGGACUUUUGUGCAAAUGUACACUUUGUGGCUGCUGUGGGCAGUGUGUGCGGGUGGCGGGUGAUCUCUGGACUGAUUGUCCAAGGUCUGAGGCCUUCGCGAAAAUUGAAUAUCGAUAUUCGGUGCAUUUUUCGACGAAAUUCGCCGACGAAACGCGGUUGCGGUUCUGAUUUCUUCCAACGAUGCAUUAGUGUAUCCUACUUUGUCACUGAGCCUUAUUGGUCGAUUACUUACAUUGUUUUGACGGUUCGGAGAUGACGGGUGAGCGACGGUGGGUUCCAGUGUCAAAAUUGAUACUUUCAAGAACCUGGAUCGGAACAGUUAUCCGACGAUAAUCGUUUCGAUGUGAGCUUACGUGUUUGCUGCCAGGACACCUUUAUUAUGGUGUUGUGUGGAAGCAGGUGACUCGUGGCGGGAGUCGGUGAGUCCCAGGACACUUCGUGGGUCCCGGCAGAGUCCCGGUGCGAUUUUCGGGACUUUCGGCGAGUUAUGGUAAUCAGUUUUGGGAAACCGAUUCUUAUGGGAUUAAUUGUGGGGUUGUGAGUUUAGUGUUUCACAUAAUUGGGUUGGAUUCUAACCCGUUGGACCCUCCAUAGGUCCGGUUGACGUUCUCCCACAGUCGGAAGAUAGGCACUAUGUUCGUACAGAUGGGUACUUCGAUUCGAAGUCAAUACAGUGAUGCACGCUCGGUGACAUUCUCUCCACGUACUCUUUCUUUACUAUUAUCUUGCAUAUCAUAUGAUGAGCCUAGCACCCCUUUUUGACUUCUUAUUAUUGCUCUACUUGGUUAUUCUUCAUAUUGAUAUCAUGAUUUACAAGUAGAGCGGAUUAUCAGUUGUACUUGAGAUCUAUGAUCUAUACGGUCGGCAUACUCUAAGGGGUAGGAUUGUCAGCUAGUUGCUGACUGUUGGUUAUUGAGUAUAUCAACAUUGAUCGCCACUACUCGUAUGCAUUUCAUGAACACCAGCGGCCUGAUCCACUGUAAGGGGGUGUUCUUUUCCUAGAAAGUGGUUGGAAGUGCGAGCUUGUGAGCCCAGAGGCCUAGUUUGGGUUAUAUGCAGGUAGAGUGGCAGUGGCACAGGCUUGAGGUCUGCGGACCGACAUGGCAGGGUAUCUUUGGGACUAAUCGUCCGGUUGAUGCAUGCAUACAGUAGCGGUAGUGGUAUAUGUAUGUCCUGUUUCCUUUAUUUGUCAUUGCUACUCUAUUAUCGUUGUAUACACUUUUAGUUAUCCUCCUUUACUGGUGAGUACCCCUCGCCCUCAUCGGCUUGCGGUACCCACUAGGAGGGGAGACAUGUGUACAUCUUCUCACCCCCCACCAUUUUUCAGGUGACGUUGCUGGUCCGAGUCGGGAUGGGGCGUGAGGCGCAUGGUUAGUGGUCAUUAGAAUGUUCCGGCCCGGUGACUUACGGUUUAAUUUCUAACCUGCUUCCUCAUAAUAAGUAACUUAGAUAUUUUCUGUUCAGUUGGUUUUAUUUGGAUAUAUGUGGUUUUGUGAAGCUAAUAAAGUACUUGUGGUUUUUAUGCAAAAGUAUGAAAAUUGUUUUCUACCUCUCGUGGUAGCUCGGUUUUAAAGGAAAGGAUUUUCAUGUGGGAAACGGUUUUAAAAAGGAUUUUUUGGUUUUCAUAAAUUUUAGUAUUUUAAAAUCAGUUUUCGGGUGAGAAACGUUUUAAACUGAUAGAUGUGGAUUUAUGAACAAAAUAUUGUAAUCUUGUGAUUGACCGAAUGUGAAUCGAUUUAUGUGAUGUGGUCAAUGUAUAUGGUUGUUUAUAUACUGUGGUUGUAUCUUAUACUUGUGCGACGCCGUGCAAAUAUAGGGCAGACUUUGUCCGUGUGAAUAGUGGUUUCCUGUAUUUGUGGCAGAUCUGACAUCCCCUAGGGUCAAGGUUUAAAAAAAAAAAAAAUUUGAGUACUUUCGCAUCGAUUUUAACGUUUCAAAAGGACCCUGGGGCAUGACAAGAAUUAUUUUUCUUGGGCAUGUGAUUUUAGCUGAUAGGAUUGCAGUUGAUCCCAAAAAAUUGAAGUAAUUCGAGAUUGCCCUAGACUUGCAAGUGUUUCUGAGGUGUGGAGCUUUCUGGGAUUGGCUGGUUUUAUCGUCGGUUUAUGAAAGGCUUUGCGAAGCUUUCCACACCUCUCACUCAACUUACUCGAAAAGGAAUAAAAUAUAUUUGGAGUAAGAAUUGUCAUAGAACCUUUAAAAAAUUGAAGAAUAAAUUAAUGUCAGCUCCUAUCCUCGCCCUUCCUAUUAUGGGUGAGGAAUUUGUUAUUUAUAGUGAUGCAUCAGAGUGGAUUGGGUUAUGUAAUGAUGCAGAAUGAUAAGAUAAUUGCCUAUGCUUUUAGACAGUUAAAAAAUAUGAGAAAAAUUAUUCUACUUGUGAUUUGGAGUUAGCUGUCGUAAUUUUUUCAUUAAAACUUUGGCGCUAUUAUCUUUAUGUAGAAUAUUGUAAAAUCUACACUAAUUAUAAAAGCUUCAAGUAUUUAUUUACUCAAAAAAAUUGAAUUUAAGAUAACAUUGAUGGUUAGAAUUACUGAAGAAUUAUAAUGUAACAAUAUUUUAUUAUCCUACUAAGGCUAGUGUAGUGGCUGAUGUACUAAUUAUGAUGAUUCUUAAUUGGGCCAUUGUUAGAGGAAAUGAGACGGUUAUAAAUGAAGAUUGCACUCCUUGCAACCUAAUCUGCCAGAAAGGAUUAAAAGGAAAUAAGGUGUUGACCCACAUUUAGCAAAAAUUCGGACAAAAUUAGGAAAUGGACAAGUGAAGAACUUUUUUUUUUUUGUGAGAGAUACGUAGCACGCUACCCACUUCGUUUAUUUCAUUUAGAAAUAAACUUAGCUGGAAAUGUGAAUCAAUUAGGAUUCGAACUUGGGUCCCGGGUACCAACCACCAAGCCCUUUGCCACUUGCUCUAGGGACGAUCGGUCAAGUGAAGAACUUUAGUAUUGAUUCCUUGGGGAUAUUGAGAUUUUAGGAUCAUUUAUGUAUACCUUUGGAUGCUGAGAUCCGUGAGAAAAUAUUGAGGGAAGCACAUAGUUCCCUUUAUACUGUACAUCCUGAAGGAACGAAAAUGUAUAAGAAUUUAAAAACACAUUAUUGGUGGAAUGGUAUGAAAAGAGAUAUCGGAAGAUUUGUAUCACAAUAUUUGGUCUGUCAACAAGUAAUAGCAGAACAUCAGGUACCUGUUGGCAGACUGCAAAAUCUUUCAAUUCCGGAAUGAAAUUGAGACAUGAUCACUAUGGAUUUUGUAACUAGUUACCAAGAUCACACGGUGGACAUGACAAUACUUCUGGGUGAUAGUGAACCGAUUGACAAAAUCUCUUACUUCAUACCAGUUCAAGUGACAUGGUCUAGAGAGAAACUUGCUUAGAUAUAUCUGAAUGAGAUUGUAAGAAUGCAUAGAGUUCCUACCUCUAUAGUGUCAGGUCGUGACCCGAGAUUUGUAGCAUAUUUUAGAGAUCUUUACAGACAGCUUUGGGACUCAGUUACAUUUCAGUACAGCCUUUCAUCUAUAGGUUGAUGGGCAGUUCGAGAGGACAAUUCAGAUAUUCGAGGAUAUGUUGAGAGCAUGUGUCCUUGAGUAUGGUGAUAACUGGUAUCGACAUUUGGCAAUGGCGGAGUUUGCAUAAAAUAAUAUUUUUCAAGCAAGUAUUAGAAUGGCUCAAUUUGAGGCAUUGUAUGAAAGAAAAUAUCAAUCGCCACUGUAUUGGAGUGAACUGGGUGAGAGAAAAACUCUGGGUCCACAUAUUUUAAUGGAAACAGAAGAAAAUGUUAGAAUUGCCCAACAACAUUUGCAGACCGCCUAGAGUCGACAGAAAAGCUAUGCUGACACAUAGCAUCGAGACUUAGGCAGCGUUUGGUUCAGGAACAAAGGGGGAAUAGGCCUUUGUUCCCCCCUUUUUUUCCCAAACGUUAUGUUUGGUGCCCAGGAAUAGUAGUUUCCGAAUUUUUGGAACAAGCUGGUAUAAGACUGGAACUGUCAUUCCACCUUUUUCCUGGAACAAGCUUGUUCUUUGAUGAGAACAAGAUUAAUUAAAGCCUAAAUUUAAUUUUAAUGACAAUAAAUUAUUAAUUAAUCUAAUUAAUAUAUUUAAAUUAUUAUUUAUUAUUUUAAUAAUUAUAUAAUUAAUUAAUUUAUUAUUUAUAAUUAAUUAUUAAUAAUUAGAUAUAAUUUGUUGUAUCCCUGAUGUUCAGUUUUUUGAGGCUUGUCGACACGCCGUGAGGGUGUCAGGACAAGUCUGAGUCUCGUUGGCGCGAAAUAGACGCAAAACGAACUCAGCGGGGACGCGAAAGCAGGAGUUAGCAUUGAAAAUUGCGAAUUGCAGAUUUUCUGCUUGUUAUACCGGUAGAACAUCAGGGUUGUACCGGUACACUUUCUGUACCGGUACAGCAUCGGAGGUGUACUGGUACACUUCGCCUGAUUGGUGAACAGCUGUUACCAUUUGUACCAGUACAGGUGCCCGUAUACCGGUACACGGGUGUAGGUGAGGGGCAAAUUUGCCUUUUCAUGCCUCGUAUGUGUCACCCACUCCUUCCCUUACUACUUAGCUGCGUAGAGAGAUGCUGAGGGGAGUUCUUUUGGUUGGUUUCUCCUCCUCUCUCUCUAGACUUGAUCCGAGCGUGCGAAGGAGCUCGGGUGGAUUUGUUUCGUCGCCGACGUCGCACCGCGGAGCCGUUCGAGCACACGAGCAUUGUGCUGGCUGCGUUGGGAGGCCGAGCGAGCAUGUGAUUCCGCCGUUUCGACGUCGCGCCGGAUUUGGAUUAGCGUUCGAGGUGGGUUAAUCGUCAGUUUACCUCCUAAGUAGAUAUAUAGUCGGCAUGUGUUUAUCGUGUUGUUUAGUAUAUUUAGAUUGCUCGAUUCAUGGAUUUCAUGUUAUUAUCUUCAAAAUCUGAAUUAGAGCUUUGUCUUUUGCUAGUAUCUACUACACAUGUGGGACUUGGAUAUGACUUAGGAGAAAACUGCGAUUAUGACCUGUCAUAUGCUUAAACUACCUGAUUUAGCUCUAGGAGCCGUUGUUAUUUUGUAUUGCCGCAGUAUCGGCGUGGUGGAUACCCCAGGUAGUUUAGAUCUCUGCAACGCUCGUGCUAGGAUGCCGAGUGUAUUUUUACAGUGGUGUUCAGACUGUUUCGGAUAAUUGGGUGCCAUCGGAAUUGACGGUGGACCUAGUUUGCCGAGUUGGCAUUAGAUUGUGCCGAGGGCACGUGACUUGUUGGUUGUUAGACCAGUUGGACCAUGUUUCUUGACUUUAGCCUGUGAGAGCCUAAUUGAGCUCGACAGAGAUACGCUUGCAUACUCGUUUAGGUCGCGCCCACGAGUGCCACUCCGGAGUCGGGCUUAGUGCUUUUGUGUUGGUGUCGUUGUGUCCUGGUUGGACUUGCUCUCCACUAACUACCCAGCGUGGUGGUUGUUAGUAUACCUUCGACAGGCGGGACGGAUGUAUCACAGUCCCUGGUGGGAUUGGGUCAGGAUUUACUUUUACUACAGUUGGUUAGUGUAGAGCAUGAUAGUGUAGUGACAUGUAGCUGUAGAUUGUCUUCCAACUUUUCCUACUACCUAUGCUUCUUUCUGUAAACUUAGUGGGUGGACCGAUGAUGUUGAGGGCGGCACCCACUGAGGACUACUUGUUUUUACAGUAGUUCUCACGCCCUGUUGUUACCCUUCUUUUGCAGAGCCAUCAGUUCCAGCUGCUGCAUCUUCUGAGGCUGAUCGUGGCAGGGCGUUGCAAGCUAGAACUCUAUCCGACGAGUUGCUGAGAUAGAGGAUCCCUGCUGUAGGUAGAUUUACUUUUGUUUGAGCUCAUGUACAUACAGAUGUUAUAACUCGCUGAGGCGAGUCCUUUUUGUACCUGGAUAUUAUGUAUGUAUAUGGAACUCGCUGUUGUUCUACUGUUCUUUUUCUUUCUAGCAGCUCUUUAUUACUGGUUGUAGUGUUGUUUGAUUACAGUUUCAGUACAGCUUUACUUUGUAUGCAGGGAAAACUUCUUCGCAUACGGCGGAUCUGUUAGUGUGCUCGGAAAAAUGUGUAAUCCGAGGCGUGACAUAAUAAUUAUUAAUUUAUUACUUAUAAUUAAUUAUUAUUAUUAUUAUUAGUUAUUAAUAAUUAUUAUUCUUAAUAAUUAGAUAAUCGAUAUUAUUAUUAAUUUAUUAUUUAUAAUUAAUUAUUAAUAAUUAGAUAAUUAUUNUACACAAUCCAACACCUCCCCUCCCCUCCCCUCCCCUUUCCCCCUUUGCACCAGCGAAUCCCACCUCUCGGGGUGUGUAGGAUGCCGCGAAGCAUCUUACGAAUCUGAUCUUUCUCGCCGAAAGAUAUAAAAACAACAAAAACCCUCUCUCAUUUUGCUUAGAAAUGGAUUUAGUAUCACAAAAAAUUCGAUCUUUAGUAGAAUAUUUUGAUCUUGGUUUCUCAAAGGGAGAACUCGUUCUUCGCAUUUGCUUAAAGAAUGCUCAGUAUACAUAUUUAAGCAUUGAAAUCGGCUAUCCUUUUCUUGGUUGCAGCGAUAUGUGGCACUCAAAGUGCAGAAGAGUGCGCAGCACUACACUGAAGCAGCAAUGGAUGAGAUAAAGAUCCUCAAGCAGAUCGCCGACGGUGAUCCCGACGAUAAUCGGUGUGUCGUCAAGCUCCUGGAUCACUUCAAGCACUCGGGGCCGAACGGGAUUCACGUCUGCAUGGUGUUCGAGUUUCUCGGGGACAAUCUCCUUACAUUGAUCAAGUACACGGAUUAUCGGGGAAUUCCUCUUCCGAUGGUGAAAGAGAUCUGCCGUCACGUUCUAAUUGGCCUCGACUACCUCCACCGCGAACUAUCAAUAAUUCACACCGAUCUUAAGCCUGAGAACAUCCUCCUUGUCUCUUCACUUGACCCUUCCAAGGAUCCACGACGCUCUGGGACACCGCCUGUUAUUCCAAACGUGAAGACUGACGACCAACCUCCUAAAACCACUGUGUCGACUAACGGCGACCUAACAAGAAACCAGAAGAAGAAGAUCAGGCGGAAGGCAAAGCGUGCGGCUGCGGCCACGUCAGUGAGUGGUGCGGCCACUGCUUCUCAGGAUGCUGAUGUGUCAGAAGAUAAGGGGGAUUCUAGUGCGAUGAAUGAAGACGACGGUGGCAGUGGUGGUGGAGAACAGUCUGGCGCAGUGCGAGGCCAUAGAAGGGGUAGUAAGGGAAUGAGGAGGACGUUGGUUACGGAGGCUGACCUAAGAUGCAAGUUGGUGGAUUUCGGGAAUGCAUGCUGGACUUAUAAACAGUUCACAAGUGACAUCCAGACAAGGCAAUACAGGUGCCCUGAGGUGAUUCUUGGUUCCAAAUAUUCUACCUCUGCUGAUAUGUGGUCGUUCGCAUGCAUUUGCUUUGAGCUUGCUACUGGAGAUGUGCUCUUCGAUCCACACAGCGGGGACAAUUUUGACAGGGAUGAGGUAAAGGACUUGAACUUUCUUGUACGUACAGGGAUGAUAUCCAGACAAGGCAAUACAGGUGCUGCGUCUGUCAAUAACUUUGACAUCUUACACCCUCUUCUCUAUUAGAAAGGGCAACAGAGAGAUUUACCGGCAAUGCCUGAAUGGAACAUCCUAUCUAAGAAAUGAGUUGGAACUUUCUUUUGUUUUCAUAUUUCCGCUAAUGAUAAAAACAACAACGUAAUCCACAUGCAUCACUACUAUUCACCUUCUCCACCGCUCGGGAUUCUGGCUUAUUAUGUCAAUUUGUCAAAUUUUAGCAACAUUUGAUUUAUUAUCUGCAGUAUUCUCUGUCUUUAUAAUGCAUUUCUAGUCUUUAGAUGAAUCGCUUGUUUGCCGUCAAGUAUUUGACCUCAGUAUUGUAACAACCUGUUGGCCGGCACUAGUUAGAGACAUUAGGGGAUAUAUUGUCAACCUCUCUGACUAGUGAAUGCACUCAAGUAUAGUGGCCUCCACUACUUGGAGAGGGCGGUUAUUUUACAAUCUACAGAGCUAUGGAAGAGAUGAUGUCAGUGGGGUUAAGUUGAAGUGAGAAUUUAACAUCCAUCUCACUCAACAUCACCAACUCUAAGGAAAGGCUUUUUAGGAGUUUGUUGUGUACGAACUUUAACAUCUGUUGGAUCAAUGUAAUACCUAGUAAUAGGGGACGCUAUGUAAUUAUCCAUUUGAGGCCACUUAGUGCGCUUCUUCCGCGCAACUCUAGUAAGCUGGUGUGCCUUGUUAUUGUACUUUAACUGCAUUAAUGUAUGGUGCCACAGGCCCCCAUGAGCAAAACCAAUGAUUUAAUCUUGCCUGAAUUUGGAUGGUUUUAGUGACAGGAAAUAAGUUUGGUUUCAGAUGCAGUUAGCACAACUCUUCAACCAAUCAUAAACAAUAAACCAAUAGAAAACCAAUGCAAAAUACCCAAACUAUAUCUGUGUGUAGCUGAUUUGGUUGGUGGACUUGUUCUCUUCAAUUUUGUGUUGCUUGGCUGGUUAUAUUUUGCAGAAUGCAUCAUAUUACAGUCUUGGGUUAUAUUUUCAGGACUUCCUGUUUGUUUAGUGGUUUCUUUAGUAAAGUCAGUAAUUUUGGUGUACACUUUUGGUGCUAAUGUGUGUCAGUUUCUUAAUUCUCAAACUAUUGGGGUCAUCACUUUCAAUUCCUUCUAUACUCUAAUCAAACACGUCCUAUUCCCAUUGCUACUGACAUCUGAGAUGUGUUUCCACUUCAUGAACAUUUCAACUGCUCAGUACUUAUCCUGAAUAACUACUGUUUCUCGAGUUACUUUGAUGCAUUAUCACUUUCUAUUUUGUUGGUUUUACCGCCUUUCCUUCCACAUCAGAUUAUCUUUCUUGCCUCUGUUCUUGCCACUGAAGUUCAUUUUUGUCAGCCUGCUAUAUUUUAUGCUUCUGUCAUUCUUUCUCUUUCUUUUUGUGGUUAAAGGUGUCUAGUAUUUCCUGUAUGUUCUGAUUCAUAUGUGUGAAGGUAGUUGCCUGUUUUUCUCAUAGAAAGCCUCUACUUUUUGGCAUUUGAAUCUCUAACUGCUUGUAGAAGUACCUUUACAGCACAGAUUCGUCGUGUCAGUGCCACACAGCCCUCUAAGAUAAAGAGCUACAUAGCCCCAUGUUGGUCCAGCAAUAAUCACAGUGGCUUAUGUUAUCACUAGGCUACAUGUUAUCAAUAUAAUGAGUGUUUUCAGCUGUCUGUUUGUUUUUGUCAUUUAUUUUUCCAAGAUUUACGCUUAUAAUAAUACAUCCAGUGCUGAGAAACUCUUGGAAGACAAUCAGAUCUUGAGGUUCUUGAAACGUACUUGGUGGAUUAAACAUUAACAUGAUAACGACCUUCUGACAAUUAGCAGUGUAAUUAGGCCUACUUACGCAUCUAAACAUGUAGAGGAGAUGAGGCUAUCUUGCAAUUGCCUUUGUGAAGCAACACUAUAUGCAGCAACCUGAGGCCAGCAACUUUAACCCCUGCCAACUGAUUCUAACUAUAGAUCAAGGUAGUCAUAUUUUUGCCAUUUAAGACCAAAUGUAACUGUGUUUCAUUUGGCGCUGACAUGGGGGACUCAUAAUGCUGUCUGGCCUCGUGCUGUACACUAAUCAUCUGCUGGGCAAAUAAGCUGCCUAUAUAUGAUUUGCAUUAUAACAUCGGCAUAUUGUUGUGUUAGGACGUGAAAAUAUUUUCCUACACUGCCUGUAUAAGCGAUAAUAAUUCUUUUUUAAUGCUAUGCAGGAUCACCUCGCACUGAUGAUGGAACUGCUUGGAAUGAUGCCUCGCAAGGUAAAUCAUCUUUUCUUUAGCCUACUAAGGAAGUCUCCUUAAUAAGCAUUGGAAAAAUGAUAAUAUGAAACUUUUGCUGUGACGGAAAGUUGGAAUGAGAUUAUGAGCCCCAAAGCCAAAUUCUCUGAGGGUGAAGCUUUUGCUUUUGUUAUAGAGGAAGUGUUUGGAAUUAUUGAUGAAAACGAUGUUAAUUCUUUUUCACUCAGCAGCACUUUUGUAGCAGCUCUAGCAAGGCCAAAGCAUUAAUUCAUGUAUUACUGUUCUCUCGCAGAUAGCCUUGGGCGGCCGAUACUCUCGCGAGUUUUUCAACCGGUACGGCGAUUUGCGGCACAUUCGCCGCCUGAGAUUCUGGCCCCUCAACAAGGUACUCAUGGAGAAAUACGAGUUCAGCGAGCAGGAUGCAAACGACAUGGCUGACUUUCUUGCCCCUAUACUAGACUUUGUUCCAGAGAAGCGGCCCACUGCCGCCCAAUUGCUUACCCACCCAUGGAUCAAUGCUGGGCCUUUGACUUGUGAACCAAGGUCUCAGCCCGAACCAACCCAGCCGUCAGUGGACGGUGUUUCUGAGAAGCAAAAGAAGGAGAAAGAGGAGCGAGAUGCGAUGGCAGUGGGGAUAGGAAAUAUUGCAAUUGACGGAACUGCAAAAGUGGGAAAAGAUUCUCCAGCUGGCAGUAAGGUGGGAAAGGCAGUUGUUACAUCUUCGAGGUAGGUUUUGUUUUGUUGCAUUUGGCCUUUAGAUGGAAGCUUUUUCAGUUGUUUGUAUCUUGGAUGAGUGGAUGGCUGGCUAUACCUUUCGGUUUUUGAUUGUUUUAGGUAUGGACGUAAAAUGGAAAAUUUUAGGUGUAUGUUAGCAUUCAGUUGGGGUUACUAAGACUGUUCCCCUUUUGACUAAGGACCUCUACUUAUUUUAUGAGGAGUUCAGAUUCUUGAGAUUCUUUUGAAUUGAAUUCAAUUGAAAGCCCCAGUUUUGGAGGUCUUUCCCCCCUCUUCGAUUGGUGGAUUGAUUUGACAGCGGUAUAAAUUUUGUUUUUAAAUUGAGUUAUGAUCAGAACAAUAGAUUGCCAGAAUAAUAUAUCAAAAUGCAAUUGCCUUUUCAUGGUGAAACUAUUAAAUUUGAAGAUACUGAAACAGCUUUCCAUUAAUCAUACUACAAUAGUUUUCAUUAAUCCUACUGUAAUAGGUUUGAUCACCACUGCUUGCGCUGUUAUCUUCUUUGGGCAUGGAAGCUUUUGCGGAACUAGCUUUCCACUUCUAUUUAUAACUUUGGCAUCUUACCAAUGAGUUGUAAACCACCAACAUCAAAUCCAACGCUGAAAAUCUUAGAUGUGUUAAAGCUAAAUUUAGGUAAUGAGUUAAAAGAGCCAACCAAUCAAUUCUGCUAAAAAAUCGCUUCAAACUUGUAGAGGAUGUUCAUUCUAAGAAGAUCUUUCCAAAACGGACACCAUUAAUGAACAUGCGGUUAUUGAAGAGUUUGGAAUAGCAAACUGAAUAAAAUUAGCCAAUCCUUCCAAGUAGUUCUGCAUUGUCACCGUUGCUAACCUUGGAAGUCGUAGCUCUUCUCCUGCUGAUUCUCGAGUCUGAAGUACACAUUGAAAGCAUAAGAUGCAUUUCCUUCGGCACCGCAACUGUUGUAUGUUGAAACAUAGCCAAGCGAAGUGCAAUCUGCAUAAUUGCGCUCGAAUAGCAUGUUUUCUCCAAUCUUACUGAGAUCUUUAGCAUUUGGGUACAACAGCAUGCACCAUUUCUCAGGCAAAUACUCCACACAUUCUUCGCCCCAGCAAGGUGCUUCAGAUGACAAUUGUAGAACCUCGCAGCAUAGCUCAUCUUUGCAUUUAUCUCUCCAUCAGCAGACCAAACCAUCUUCCCCUGUGAUGAUCGGCAUGUUGCUGAAGCUGAUUUUCUUCAGAGCAGAGACCAAGGUAUCAAAAUUGGCAUCAUUCAUCAAACACACCAUUAUAUAAACUCCAUAGUCAAUGAUUGCAGUUGGUGUGCCGUCAAAGAAAGCGAAGUCCAAGCGUCAGUCAUUAAGGAACAUCAGGGCAGAGUUUAUGAAGGAACUAAUAUUCUCUCUCUCUCUCUCUCUCUCUCUCUCUCUCUCUCUCUCUCUCUCUAUAUAUAUAUAUAUAAGGUACCCAUUUGGCUUUUGUAAGAAAAUUUACAGCCGUUUUACCCAUCAGCCCAUUAAGGAACAGCAGGGCAGAGUCCAACUCCUGGCUGAUCGAAAGAAGCCAGCACAGUGGGAGUUCACAACAGUCGGGUAAAAGGAAAGCAAUUAUAACUGUGGGAACCAAGAAAUCAAACUGGUGAGUAAUGAGGAAAACCAGCCCUCCAUUACUGAAUAACUAUCUUUUCACACCAACACAACACACACACACACCCUAAACCCUAAACCCUAAACACACAGUUAACUAAGGCUUCUUGAAGCAAAUCUAGCAUUGUGGAUGCUUUCUGUUUUAGUUCAACUACAUCAAAGCCAUAUCUCGAAAUAAAGUACAAUAAAGCAAAUCAAAACCCCUCAGGACACAGGUUUCACCCAAGUUACCUUUUAUAUUGGCUGCCGCACCUCAGACUGAAAAAUCGGACAACAAAAAAUAAUAUUCAAAUAAAUAUACACAAAAAGGAAUGCAAGGAACCAGCAGAUUUGCCAUACUUAUUACCAACUUCCUGAAGCAAUUGUUGUAAGUCAUGUACAAAUAAUCCUGACAGAGUCUCUGGAAUAAACAGAUAAAUAGGACGGAUAGCAGGUGCAAAGCUAGGACAAACAGAUGCUGAUAAAAGAGGAACCACACAAUGAAUAUAUUUAAUCUAAAGGGCCAGAAUGAAAUAAUGAUGAAAUUUGGCGCAAACGGGAUAUGACAGAGAUAGGCGACCUUUUCGCUUAAGAAUGAGCCAGCCUCUUGACAAUAGAGGCCAUAUACUUGCCCUGGUGCUCAGCAAGAGAGAGCUCCGUCUCGCUAGGUUGCCUUGAGCCAUCACCAGCAAAAACUCCGGCACCGUAUGGAGAACCUCCUCUAAUGUCGUCCAUCUUGAACAUUCCCGCUCCAAAGGUAUAACCAAUCGGAACAAAGAGCAUUCCAUGGUGGGCUAAUUGGGUGAUUGCAGUCCAACUGUAGAAGGAAGAAAAUGACAGUACAUACGCGUUACCGACGAUACUUAUAUUGCAAAGUUCACACUUUGAACUAAUGUCAAAAAAACCACACUUAAUAUGGCUUAUGGUACAGACCAAGUCAGUCACAAAUCUGCAUUAUUACAUUGUACUCUAGAAAACUUCACAUUUCUAAAAUAGACGGUGAUAAGCAAGAAUUUACUACACACAAAGCAUCAAAUUAUCCUCGUAGAAUUCAAAUGUAGUGGAAUAUGUACUGUUAUAAUGUAUUUUCAUAAACAAUUAAUUUGGCGAUGCAUCCUCAGAAAGUUACUGCUUUCCAGCGUGUGUUCAUUUUCAACAGUAAUAAUCAUAGUAGGGCUACUUAUGCUGCAGCCGCAAGCUUCUCUAGAUCCUUACCCACAGCUAGAUUAUAACUGAUUAAUUUUGGCAUUCCUACGAUCGUUAAAUGACGACAUCAAAAGAAAAACAUCAGCACAACCAGUAACUAGAACCUCAAGUCCUCAACUAAGAUUCUAGAAGUAAAAAUCUUAUGCUUAACACGCCAAAUUUGCUUAGCAAUCUCCUCAGCUAUGUUUCUCCCACACCCACUUUUAGGCACAUCGCUAUUUCAAAUCAUUUUUACUGCCCCUCCCUCACAGUGAUACUUCAUCUACUCUCAUGCCUUGGGCAACUAGCAUUAGGUAGUCCGAAUCAGUCAUUUCUGCACUCUAUCUAUUAACUGUUCUCCACGUAUCUAAGAAAUCCCCAUAGUUUUCUCAUUGUUGUUGGGCAUGUCCAAACAUCAUCUAGCAACUCUGCCACUUCCCAUCCAGAUUAGAAACCUGCAAGUCUCCCUCAAAAAGUAUCGCGGUACGGGGUGAAAUGGACAUAGUGUGUGGGACCUAAAGUGUUGUGGUACGAAGUGAAACGGACAGUGUGUAGACGUCGAAUCUAUCAACAAACAGGGUAAUAAGAAACAAGCUGCUGGGCAUUGUUUGUAACCAUAUAAUGUUGAUUCUCAUUUUGAUCUCAAUUCGGAGAUCUAUUUACAAAAACAUGCAGCGCUGCCGACAAAAAAUCUUAAAACGGAUGCAUUACACCCUACAUGUAAAAAUGUUUCAUCAAACAAUGGUACUUUGGGGGCUUCAAAUUGCGUUUCUUUUGUUCCCCAAACAACCAAAAACAAAAGGGUGAGCCUUGAGACCAGGCAUUUCAUGAGCCGCAUCACAAGGAGAAGACUUUCCACGACGACAUAUCGGUGUAGAGCUGGACAUUGGAAGGAAGGAAGACAUAGGUUCGUUGUUUGAUGCAAUGACAACAGAUAAAAAUUGUGGUUGGUGAAUGUUCGAAUAAUGGAAAUAAUAAUUCAACCAUGCAUCCAUCAAUUCCACGAAAACCUUAUUGUUUGUUGCACUCAGAAGCAAAAUUAAUUUAGGAAUUUAGGAGGAGUUAAAAAAAGAAUCAUAAUCUUACGCAGUGGUUUCCUGUCCUCCUCCCUGGGUGCCGGUGCUGACGAAGAAACCGGCAGGCUUGCCGGCCAGCUUCUGCUCCCUCCAGAGCUGCCCGGUGGAAUCGAAGAAGGCCUUCAUCUGCGCGGCCAUCGCCCCGAAGCGCGUGGGGAAGCCGAAGAGCAGCCCGUCGGCCUCCACCAGCUCCGGCGCGGUGAUGACCGGGAUCUGCGGAUCCUUGGGGGGCGCCUUCAUCUGCUCCAGCACCUCCGCAGGGAGCGUCUCGGCGACGCGGUAGAGGGCGGCCUCCACCCCCUCGAUGCUCUCCGCGCCCUUCUUCAUCCGCCUCGCCAGGGCCUCAACGUGCCCGUACAUGGAGUAGAACACGAUGAACACCUUCAGCUUCAGAUCCGACGCCGGAGCAGCAGCCGCAGCCGCGGGAGUUUCGGCGGCAUCGGUGCUGCUCGCGGGGCUCUUCUGAUCGGCGGUGAUGGGAGCGUCCCCCGCCGCCAAAGUGUUGCCGGUUGCCACGGCCGGCUGCCGCUUCUUGCUCGGUACGCAACCUCCUCCUUUCCCCAUUACAGAUCUCAAUCUAUCUAUCUAUCUAUCUAUCUAUCUAUACGAUCUCAUCAACUGGUCAAAAUAACAAAUGAAAGAGAGAGAGAUGUUAGGUUACAACAACAAGAACAACGAAAAUCAAAAAAAAAAAAAAAAAAAAAAAAAAACGCACCUUUUUAGGUCUAGAGGGUAUCAGCGGGAGAUGGCUCGAAUUGUCACCCAAAUGAAGCGUUCUCUCUACAAAAUCUGCCGCUUUUUCCCCGAAUUCUGCUUCCGAUUUCUGCAGGAAUUAAGUCUAAAUCUCUCACGGGAAUCAAAAUUUUGCCCGCUUUUAAUCCGGAACCAAAGCAACACAAUCUCCUGGAAGGAAAUGGAGUGAAUUCCUCCGGCGGAAUUCGCCAAUCCUCUCAGAAAAUGACCUCUUGAAGAACCCCAGAAAAAAGAAAAAAAAUGAAAUAAAAUCUCCCUUUCAGUCCCCUGGAACAAAUUAAAAAGGGACAAGUAGCAACUAAUUAAUUUCGGUAACUAAAAAUUCAAACUUUGAACCUUGUAACGAAAACAACAAGGCGACUCGAAAUCUCCACGCAAAAGAGACGCUUACAGCGAUGGUUCUCUCCUACCCCCGCCACCCACCUUUCCGGAGAUCCCAAUAAUGAAAAGUCGCAGCUUCUUCCCACUAAUCCAACCUCUAUCUAUCGCUCUGUUGUCUCUUCCCAGUUCUCACUCGCGGGCAUUAUUUUUCUUUCCUCGCUGUCUCCUUGCUGGCUUCCAGAAGCCCUGGACGAGGACGACCCGACCCUCCUUGUCAGACUCAGACUUCGGUUGGUCGUCACCUGCGACCGAAACCAAAUGAAUCAGCUGUUCCUGUUCGGCUCGCUGCGAGAAAAGCCGAUGCGCCAGUUCAUAUCUAAAUGCUGAGAUCCACCUCCUCCUCAGAUGCCACGUAUGGAGUCUGCGUUACAUGACCUAAACGAGCCGGAAAGUGACGUCAACUUCGCACGCUUUGUGGGCCCCGCCUUUAUUUCGAUCUCCUCUCAGAAUCUCUCUUACUUUCUGGGCCUUUUCUUUUCCAACUGCCCAGAGUCAAAGCUUCGUUGGACUUCACCAAUGAGGAGCCCAAUAUCAGCGACUCCACCGUGUCCCUGUGGGAAACAGGAAAAAAAAAACUAAAAAAAAAAACUAUUUAAAAAUAGUCCGUUGCAUUCAUGUGCCCGAGCGAGCAUGGAAGUUAAUGCUGGUUGGUUAAUUUGAGGGCAGCACAUAAACAUAAAUAUAAAUAUAAAUAUAAAUAUAAAUAUUCAUUUCUCCCGAGCGUCUACGCAAAGGUGAAUCAAGUAACUAUUAUUAUUCAACUAAUGUCAGAUGACGCUUGGCUCCAUUCCUUCACAUUCCAUGAGUUAGUUUUUAAAUUCUUCGAGCAGCACAAACUACGUACCACCGAGUUGCCAUUUUCUAAUCUUUAUCCCAAAAAAUAAAAAAUAGCAGACCUCCACCUUCGACUUGAGAGAAAGAGAAAAAAGAGAAGACGUAAUCUAUUGUGAAGAGAAGAAGGCAACAAAAGUGUAAUAUAAUUUAGGAAUUUAACCCACGCAAGAGAGGAUUACCUGACUUUGACUGGGUGAAAGGGCGUGCCCAAGGAACAAGAGAGGUGAAAAGGCAAUAUCCCGUCUAAUCAAACCUGGCGACCGAAGAAAUACUCAGAGUUGAACUAAGCUAGACCUGGCUCCAGACCUCAUAUCGGGACUGAUUUUCGUUUUUUUUCCUUUCUUUUUUAACAGGGAAGGCUUGGAUCGGGUCAGGCCCAGAAAAAAAAAAUAGUCCAUAGAUAUUGUCAGACGGAAGUAAGCAUCAAAACAUUAAAAAUUUUGGGCAGGUUCAUAUAAAUCAGAAAAAAAAAAAUAUAAUGUGGGGUCCAGCCCAACAUUUUCCCUACCUUGCUGAUUUGAAGGCCUGUCCCGAUCCAAUGUUCUCGGGCCGACCCACAGAAAUAAUAGGGCCGAACGGGGCCGGUUUUCGCGUUAGAUCGCGGAUUUUUGUUUCUGCUCCUUUCUCCGCCAAUAGGAGAAUAGACUGCUCUUCCAAGCGUCGCUUCCGCAGUCGCUGGAAGAGCGAUUGCCGUGGUCGUGUGCUCUUCUUCCUUCUUUCUUUUGGUUUUUUAGGGGGGGGGGCGGGGGUCCUUGUCUGCGUUGUGACUCUUCAACUCUGUGUGUUUGGCUUCUCUUCACUUUUUUAGGACAUGACAUUUUUUUGAAAGCUCUUCUUUUUUUUUCUUUUUCUUUUUCUUUUUCUUCCUAACGAUCUGAGAUGUCAAUUUUUUUUUUUAAAAAAAAAAUAUAGCAUGCUACUUGCUUCGUUUAUUUUUUAAAAAAAUAAAUUUAGUUGAAAAUAUAAAUUAAUUAGGAUUUGAAUUUGAGACCUUAGAUACCACUUGCACUAAAGACGAUCGGUCUCAUACUCUCAUCUGUCAAUUUUUAAUGUAGUUUAAUGUGGAUUUGACAUAGAAUAAUUAAGAUUCCAUCAUCGCUUCUUCUGGGAAAAUAAUCGGAAGAGAUUUAGUGUAAAAUGGUCCAAAGCCAGGCCCAGCGUAAGGGACGAGUGGGGCAAGGAGCCCAUGAAAGAGUUCCAGAAAAGCUAGCUAAGUAAUAAGCCGGUAAAUCACUACUACCUCUACCUGGGACGAAAGAAGGGAACUGAAAUGUAAUAAACAUGCGUCAGUGUACCUAACAACUGUUGCAAGUAGAUCGAACUACGUGGAAACUGACGGUAUCACUCGAAGGACUUCGUUGCAGAAAAAUAAAUAAAUAAAUAGUUUUUAAAAAAUAAAUAAAAAAUAAAUAGUUUUAAGGAAAAAAUCUCUUUUGCUGGAUGAGGGAGCCCAUUGAGUUACAUCAUUUAGGUAGUGUUUGGUUCGGGAACAAAGGAGGGAAUAAGCCCUUGUUCCCCCCUUUGUUCCCAAACGCAAUGUUUGGUUCCCGGAAACAAUAGUUUCCGGGAAUCUGGAACUAGCUGGUAUAAGGCUGGAACUGCUGUUCCACCCGUUUUCUGGAACAAGCUCGUUCCUUGAUGAGAACAAGAUUAAUUAAAAUCUAAAUUUAAUUUUAAUGGCAGUAAAUUAUUAAUUAAUCUAAUUAAUAUAAUUAAAUAAUUGAUAUUAUUAAUUUAUUAUUUAUAAAUAAUUAUUAAUAAUUAUUAUUAUUUAUAAUUAAUUAAUAAUAAUUAAUUAUUUAUUUAUUUUUAAGUAAUAUUUUGAUGUUAAUUAAUUGCAUAAUAUAAUUUUAAUUUCAAAUUAUAACUCUUAUUCUUCUUGUUCCAAUCUAACAAUCUAAAUACAAUUUAUCUUAUUCCUAUGAACAACCCAAUUUUCAUCCAAACGCAAAAUUGGUCUAGUUUCUGCUUAUACCUGAACUUGUACCUAUCCUUAGAACAAGCAAUUCUUACUUAUACCUGAACCAAACGUAGCCUUAGAGUUUUAGGUUGGAGAUCAUGUAUUUCUCAAAGUCUCGUCCUCUAAGGGGAUAAAAUAUUUUUGAAUGCGUGGAAAGAUUAGUCCACAAUACAUUGGACCUUUUGAGAUAUUAGAGCAAGUUGGACUUGUUGCAUACUGAUUAGCUUUGCCGCCGAGUUAAGCUGGUGUACAUGAUGUGUUUCAUGUCUCAACCUUGAGAAAGUAUAUUUUUGAUCCAUCACAUGUAAUAAAUUAUGUUCCACUGAAGGUGACUGAGGAGAUGAGCUAUAUUGAGUGAUUGGUUCAAAUUCUUACACGAAAGAUAAAAGAAUUGCGAAACGGAGUUAUUCCUUACGUGAAAGUAUUAUGGAGUCAACAGAAAGGCGAGAGGCUACUUGGGAGCUUGAGGAUGCGAUGCAAGAAUCUUAUCCCUAUUUAUUUGAGUAGCUGACUUGAGGUAUAUUUUAAGUUUCAAGGAUGAAACUUUUAACGGAGGGGAGGAUGUGAUAUACUAGACAUUAGCUAAUAUGCAAGGUUGUAGUCUGUAAUUUUAGUUGACUUUUUUUUAAUAUAUAUAGUGUUUGAUUGAGUUAGAGACGUUUUAAUGCAAAAUAGAUGCAAAAAAAGGACUCAAAUUUCAAAGAUUUAAUUUGUGUGAAAGAAAGUUGAAAUAUUGGAUAUUGAGGGACUUUGCAUUUUCAGUUGGUGGAGUCCAGGUUGUCAUCUCCAUCCUUAUCCUUUCAUUUUUUUUUUGGUUAACUUUGGAGAAAGAGAGAGAGAGUGAUUAAGUUAGCUAGAAAAAGAGAGAGAGAGAGAGAGAGAAAGAGAGGUGAGCUUGGUUUCAAGCGAGCGAGUCGAGCGUCCGUGAGUAUGUGUUUUUCUAUGGUCCGAAGUCGGGAUCCUUAUAAAUACAUAAUUUGACAAUUCUUUAAGGUAUACGUGGCAAUUUUUCAGGCUUCCACGUCUAUCUGCACUUUUUUACUUUCAAAUGGAGGAUCUUAGUCUAAAUGGAGGAUCUUAGUCUAAAUGGAAGAUCUUGGUCAAGAUAUAAUUCCUUCCCAAGGUUGUCCUUCCCAAGAUAUAGUUCUUUCUUAAGGUUGUCCUUCCCAAGAUUUGACUAAGAAAUUUUCAAAGUUGCAUCAAUAUCUCCUUCUCUCUCUUUCCACACAGCAAAAUAAAAAUAAAAUAUAUAUAUAUAAAGAGAGAGAGAAUGAAAGGGAGAGAGAUCCAAGAUCUCUUUUAACAGAGAGAAAAAAAGAGAGGUAAAGAAAGAGGGGUCAUCCACAUCUUCGAUUUGCAAAACAAAAUAAAAAAAAAAAAGAGAGCAAAAGAAAGAGCAAAAGAAGGUAGAAGAAAGAAAGUUAAAAAUAAAUAGAGAGGAUCAAACAGAGAAUCGGCGAACAACGCUGCAGGAGGAGAGUUAAAAAUAAAUAGGGAGGAUCGCACAGAGAAUCGGCGAACAACGCUGCAGGAGGGGAGGUCUUCCAUAUUGCAAGGGAGGAUCGUACAGAGAAUCGGCGAACAAUGCUGCAGGAGGGGAGGUCUUCCAUAUCGCACACAAUCCACAGUUUACUUACUUUAAAAAAAAAAAAAUGAGAUGGAGAAUAAAGAGAACGUAGAAGAAAGGUAGUGUGUACCAGAGAAACAAAGUAGAUAAGGAUUAAACAAAAAAAAGAAGAAUAUAUAUGAAAAAUAAAAUAAAAAAACAGAGAGAAGAAGAACUGUGCUCCUCCUCCUUCCUUCCCUGUCCGUUGACGUACUCGCUGCAUCCACCGUGUCCGCCGCCACGUCUACCAAACCCGUCGUUGCCCAUCGCCGUCGCUGCCCGAGGCCACGUCCACCGCGUCUGCCGCUGCCGCUGCCGCGUCUACCGUCGCCGACGCCCAACGCCGCCCGCUGCCGCAUCCACCACGUCCGCUGCCGCGUCCACCGUCGACGACGCCCAACGCCGCCCGGAGUCAGCCCAACCCGGCGCUGUCCGCUGCCGUACCCGCCGACGUCGCCCAACGCUGCUGAAGCCGCCGUUGCCACAGCAUCCACCGCCCAAGUUGCCCGACGCCGCCCGAGCCGCAUCCGCUACCAUCGCCGCCCGAGCUGCUAAGCCCGAGCCCAACGCCAAUCGAACCGCCGCCGCGUGCACCAUCAACACCAUCUUGCCUGUUGCCAUUGCUGCUGAAGCCGAGGUCGCAACCUCUCAAGUGAUUUGGUUGCUUCGGGAGCAAGAAAAAGGCAUUAAAGGAAAAGGGAUAAAAGGAAAAGGGAUGGAGUGUUGUUUUCUUUGCUUACUCUAAAGUGUACCCUAUAAAUUUUUUCAUGACAUUUUGAGUUAGAUUAAAAAAAUGAUGAGACUUACCUAUUGUUAAAAGAGGAAAAGAGAGAGGGGUAAUCCAUAUCUUUUUUUGCAAAACAAAAAAAAAAAGAAAAAAAGCAAAGAGAAGGUAAAAGAAAAAGAGUUAAAAAUAAAUAAAUAAAUAGUGUGUGUAUAUAUAUAUAUAUAUAUAUAUAGAUNAAAGCCCAAAAUAAGUGAAUUUUUUAUGCAAAAAGGCCAUAUAUAUAUAUAUAAACUCUUCUUUUCUGUUCGCCGCGUUUUCAUCUUACCAAAAAAUAAUUUAUUAAAAAAAUAAAUUUUUUCACCUUUUUAAGAGAAAAUUUAUCUCUUUGCAUUUUUUUUCUCUCCCAUCAAAAUUUUUUUUUAUUUUUUUAUCUUCCCAAAAAAUAAUAUAUUAAAAAAUAAUUUUUUUACCUUUUCAAGAGAUAAUCAAAGCUUCAAAAGCUAAGCUUCUAUCUCCAUUCCUUAGUUUUGAUUUCAUAUAAUUUUGAAGUUGGUUUUCAUGAACAAAAGAGUAAUGUUUUGAGUUUUGAGUUUUGAAUUUUGAGUUAGCAAUUAUUUUAAUAUUGAGAAGUUAACAUUUUUUUAUUAUACUUUUAUUUUUUAAAAAUAAAUUUUAAAUUUAAAGUAAUUAUAUAUUAAUUUAUUAAAAUUUUAUUUAUCCGCAGUGAAGCGCGAGUUUUAUACUAGUUAGUAUCAUAUUUGGGGUUUGGGGUCUUAUAUGGGUUGCCAAAUUGCAAAAAGACCCUCCCUCAAUUCAUAUUUGCAGCAAACCAAAGUCUGCUGCGAAACAGACUUGGUGUAGAUACUAAAUAAUUUUGUCACCGGUUACACGAUUACGCGCAGCCAAACCCGAGAGCUAUUUUCUCGGGUAACAGUACCGGUAACGGUACUAACCAGGGGUGUAACCGGUUUAACAGUCUUUUUUAGGACUUAGCCAAAUUUUCAGCAUUUCUCCGUUUUCGCUCGUUUUCGCUCGUUUGGCCUCCGAUUCGUCUCAAAUCGCACCGAGACCCCCAAAGCAUGUUUUCAAGCAUGUUUCAACCAUCAUUUCACCCACGCUUAUGCUGAAUUUAGUCCAUGGUCCAACAUAGCCUUUUGAGUUCCGUUUUCGUGCCCAAUGCGCACCGAAAUACCCAAAUGCUCCCGAACUUCAAUCUCACAUUGUUUCGACUCUAAUUCACGCCGAGCAAUGUUAAAACCUUUCCAACUCCCUUGGAACUCAACUUUAACCCUUCCAAUAUUAUUAGAAUGUUAAAUGGAGUUUGUCCGACUAUUCCUUUCGCGCGCUUUAGUCAAUUCGACUAAAGUUCGAUAUAAUAUACCAAGGUUUCGGUAUAUUAUAGCCAUUAACACCCAUAAGCAUGCAAGAAAAAAUCUAAACAAUGAUUGAUUUAAAUCUACGCAUGCGAUCUUGUUAAAAAAUUAAUUUAGGGAACGAAGUCAACCUAAUAAGGCUCUGAUACCAAUGUAGAACGUAGCGGAAAUAUUCGUUUGUACCUUUUAGCGGAAGCAACUUGCGUUAGAACGUGAUGAGCCCGGAUCGUAGAAUUUGAUUCACGUAUCCUCGGAUCGUCCACGAAAAUCUUCUAUUGCUCCAAAUUCGCGGUAGAUCAAACUACAAACGAGCACGAUUUCCAAUCCACCAUUCAAGACCCUUUAAAAUAAUAGGUUAAUGGAGGAUGUGGUUUCUACUUUCUCUCUUGAUUUUCUUGUUGUCUUUCUUAUCUUCAUCUUAUGUGAGAUUGCCCGUAUAUUUAUAAGGGAUUCCAAAAUCCUAAUCGAUACGUAAUAGAUAAGGCCAAGUCGGUUCAUAAUUGUUAUUCUAAUAUGGUUAGAGUUUAUCUCUAAUUAGCUUUUCAAUUUAAAAGCGAGAUUAAUACUAGUCCAAUUAGACAACAUAAUAAUCGUCGGAUCAAGCCCAAUUAUGAGCGCACCUAAUUCGAUUUAACCGAAUGCCGACAUUGGAUUUUUGAAGGUUUUGUUGAGUUUUCCUGUUAGAUUAGAGCAAUGAAAAAGUGCCUUCGAGUUUCAUCCCAUUCUGUUAUUGGAUUUGCAAUCCAAGGUGGAUUUAAUUUACUGAAAACAACGAAAUCCCUACUAUGUCUAUAAUUAUCGCAUGUUGGUGGUUAGUGUGCAAGUAUCCAGAUUUGUUAGUGUGUAAGUUUCCAGGUUAAAUUGAUAUUCCACUCAUGUUAUUAUGUUUGGUAGUCAGCAUCAUGGUAGUGGGAUAAUACAACCUGUUAACUUGAGUUCAUUCAUGUAUAUUAUACUAGUAACCAGCAUGUGAAGAGGAAUUACAAUAAUGAUCGACAUUAGUUCAUGUCAUUGCGUAUAUAUAAACCUACACUAUACAAUUCACUAUUUCCGUCGAUAUGUUUUGUCAUUAAUUAGCAUCAGUUUUUAGACGAUCUAUACCUAGGUUGUUGGGUAGGGAGUGAUUGAGAUAGUGUAGGAUUAUUUUACGUCCAAACUGUAGAUCGAAAACUUAUAGUAUAUCAGUUGGUAGAUGGAUUAGAGUUUUAUUUUACCGUGGAUGAUACGGCUUUUUCGAAUUAUUGUGUUACACUCUGGAUUGUGCCGAAAGCACAUGGAUAGUAUGAUUUAUGAUUUAGUUGAUUAUUUGUAUUGACUACAACCUGCAUGAGCUACAUUUGAGCUCAAAAAAGAUACACAAUGUAUGCUCGGUGGGUUUGCGCCCCUCGAAUACCGCUUCGAAGUCUGACUAUAGCAUUGAUGUUGUAGCAGCCUGGUGGGCAACCUACAUAUUAACGGACUACCUGCAAAAGUGGUACCGUGGCGAUAGAUUGAUCGGACCCUCAAGUCAGUGAAUGAGAUUGGGUUUUAAUUGUGAGCGCCUGAUAGUUAGUUGAUUCACAUAUAUACAUUCAGCAAUUUUAUCAAGUACAUCUGUAGUAUAGAAGUAUAGUGGCUGUAGAGUUUCAUUCCAACUUAUACCUAUAUCCUAUUGUACAUGUUGAUCAUCAUUUAUUUCUACGCCUCUAGUUAGGGAUGUAAUGUGGGCCGUGCCGGGCCGGCACGACCCACAUUUACCGGGCCAAAAUCGGCUGGAGGCCAGCCCGGCACGGCCCGGCCCCAAAGUCGGGCCGUGCCGUGCCUGGCCCAAAUUCUUGGACCCCGGCCCAGCACGACCCCUCGGUCCGGACUGUACGGCCCGUGCCGGGCCGGGCAGGGAUUCGGGCCAGCUCUUUUUUAUUUUAUUAAUUUUAUUUUAAAAAAUAUUUAAAAUUUUUUUAAAAUAAAAUUAAAAAUAUUAUUUUAAAAAAAAUAAUAUAUAAGUAAAAAGAUUUUAAAUUUUAAAAUAUAUUUAUAAAAAUAUUAAAAUUUAAAUUAUUUUAAAAUUUUAAAUUUUUGGAUCAAAAUGCCCUUCCCUACAGUCAAAAUUUUGACCGUUGGAAAGUGCAUUUUGGUCCAAUAGGCCCAUCUCCCAAGUUAUGACAGACUCUUGGGAAGCCCCAAAUCCUAACCCCAACUCCCAAAGCAUUGGGAGUUGGGGUGGUCAAUGUUGCAGGGAGACUUGGGAGUUGGGUACAACCCAACUCCCAGCCUGGGCCCGGCUCGGGAGGCACUUGCCACACGGGCCGGGCCGGGGCAUCCCUCAGGCCCGGCAAGGCUCAGGCCCGUGUCGUGCCGGGCCGUGCCGGGCCACCGGGCGCGGGAGCAAGGCCCGGCACAACCCGGUUUAAUUAGCCGGGCUAGCACGGCACAAGAACGACAGUGCUCGUGCUGUGCCUGGCCCGGCCCGUUUGACACCCCUACCUCUAGUAGACCUAGUAGGUAAGUCAUUGCCAUCAAUAACGGUACCUAUUAAGGACUAUUUUUACAGUAGUUCUCAUGCAUUCUAUUAUUAUUAUUAUUAUUAUUAUUUGUUAGAGCCCUCUGUGCCGAUUGCUGAUUCUGACCCGAGAUACGAGAAGUGGGUUAGUUAGCAUCUCCUUCCUAUGUCGACCGUAUUAGUGGAGAACUCGAUAGAGACUGAUUUUUUAGGGAGCAUAUUGUAUAUAUUGGGACUGGCGAUGCCAGUUUUACUUUAUUUUAUUUACAGUUUUGGGAGAUGUCGUUGUACUUAUGGUUGUGAUGUAUGUGUAGUAUAACUUCAUUUUUGUUAGUUAUUUUAUUCGAGCUCUGAUAUCUGUUAGUUGUAACCUUUAGGACUGCUAAUUGUACUGAUUUUUGAUGCUUUGUGUGCACAAGACUUUUCGUGUAUGGGCAGAUCUGUUGGCAAAUCUGAAUUUCUGCCGUAACUUAGGACGUGACAAUACUCGUGAAUGAAGUAUAUUUUUUAAAAAUGGAUCACAUAUGAAAAAUAAAGGUGUCCAAAAUAUCCGAAAUCCCAUACCCGAACUGGACCCGAACCGGACCCGAUAAAAAAUGAAUAGUAUACGGAUAAAAAAAAAUUACCCAUUAAAGUUUCGGGUAUGGGUCCGGAUAUUUUAUACCCAUACCUGAUUUGGACCCGACCCGAACCUAACUUUUAAAUGGGUAGGGUCCGAAAUAGUUUUCAAAUCCGGACUCGGACCUGGACCCGAUGAAAUAUUCGAUAGUAAAUAAAAAAAAAUAAACUUUUGAAGUUGAAGGAUCAAUUUUAAUAUGACUUAUAGAUGAUGAGUCACUACGUAUUUUCAUCCUAAGAAACCCUAGCCGUCUCUUUUACUCAUUACUUUUUUCUAAUUUUUUUACUCUUUGUUUUCUACUCUUUUUUUUUCAUUUCAUUUUCGCCAACAAUAUUUCAUUGUCAUCAUCAUCAUCAGUGUCAUCAUCAUCAGCAGCGACAAUAUUUCUUUUGAAUGAAUUUUAUUGGACUGUACAAUUUAUUAGAAUGCGAGUUUUUUUUAUAGUGGGCUUUAUAGUUUGUCUAUUGACUAUUUAAUAAAGUUUAUAAAAAAAUAUAUAUUUAUACGGAUAUCCGUACCCGAUCUAGACCCGAUCCAAAUCCGAUCUUGAACGGGUAGUAUACGGGUAGUCACUAUCCAGCCCCGCUCAAAUAGACCCGAUGGGUAUAUUAGUAACUUUAGUACCCAGAUCCGGACCCGACCCGAAGUUAAAUAGGUAUGGUAUAUAUAUUUUUCUGUAACCAUUUCUUUUUAGGGUAUGGGUACAGUAUAUUAAUUAUCCAGACCCGACCUAGUCCACGGACAUCUUUAAUGAAAAAUAAUCUUAAAUGGAAUGACAUUAAUUAGAAAUUUAACAAAUGAGUUAAUAUAAACUAUUAGGCCAAAGUCCGCAAGCUUUUGCCUCGGAUUAAUUUGUAGAGUAAAUGUGUGACAGCCUGUGACUUAGGGCCCCCCGUUUGGCCUAAAUUCUCAAAAAGUGAUUUCCGUAGAAUUAAUUUUGUUUUGGAGAAUUUAUUUUGGUUGAAAGUUGUAGAGUGUUUGAUGGAGUUUCGAUGGAAAGAUAUUUCUCUGAAAUGAUUUUGUAAGCUGUUUAGCAAAAAUUUUUGGAUCUUGGUAUAUAAUAAUUUAUUUUUACUAAAUUUUAUUUCUAAACAUUUCAAAUUUAAAUUAAAAUUAAAAUUUUAAUUUCAAUUGAAAUUUUAAAAUUUAAGUUGCACGAAAAUUUGAAUUUUAACAUUAUAAUUUAAAAUAUAUAUUUAAAAUUUAAAAUUUAAAUUUUAAAAUUUAAAUUUAUAAAUCUAAAUUUAAAUUUUUAAUUUCAAAUAUAAAAUCUAAAUUUAAAUUUUGAAAAUUGAAAUUUAACAUCUGAAAAUUUGAAAUUUAAAGUUUGAAUAUUAAAAACUUAAAACUAAAAAUUUAAAAUUUAAAUUUAAAGUUAAAUUUAAAUUUUAAAUUUAAAUUAAAUUUUAUUCUAAAAUUUCAAAUUUUAAAUUUUAUCUUAAAGAUCAAAUUUUAAAAUUUAAGAUAUAAAAUUUAAAAUUUAGAUUUUAAAUUUAAAUUUUAAAUUUAAAUUAAAUUUUAUUCUAAAAUUUCAAAUUUUAAAUUUUAUCUUAAAGAUCAAAUUUUAAAAUUUAAGAUAUAAAAUUUAAAAUUUAGAUUUUAAAUUUAAAUUUUAAAUUUAAUAUCUAAAUUUUUAAUUUUAUAUUUUGAAUUUAUAAAUUUAAAAUUUAGAAUUUUGAAAUUUAAAAUUCAAAUAUAAAUUUAAAAUGUAACAUUAAAAUUUGAAUUUAAAUUUAAAAAUUUAAAUCUAAAAUUGAAAUAAAAAUUUAAUGUUUGAAUUCAAAAUCAGAAUCAGAUUAAAAAACAUGUUUUAACUAUAUUUGAUUUUGGGCCUCGAAAAUUAAAAAAACUGAUUUUAAAAAUUAGAAUCAGAUUUGGAAACGAGUUUGUCAAAUGCUCUAUUGAGCCAAGAAUUAUUUUUUGAUCCAAAAUCACCUUUUAGAAGUUUUGACCGUUUGGUUUGGAGUAAGUGGAAGAGUAAAACUCAAGUUCCAUCACUUUCAGCGUUUGUUUUGGUACAAGCCCAAAAAAGAACGUAACCUAAGUUAUGUUAAUUAGAACUUCAUUUUACCUACUGUCUACUUCUUCCUUUAGAGUGCUGAACUCAAGUUCCACCAUACUCAACCUUCUCUAAAAAAUUAAUUAAAUAUUUAAAACCUAAACGUUACUUUACAAUGAGUUAGAAUUACCUCUUUACAAUGAUUAGGCUUACCUUUAAAUAAUAAUGAAGAAUUUAAUAAUUUAAUAUGUUGGAUUUGUGGGGGUAAGUUUAUUACUAUAUUUAAAAGAUAAUUAGAUUUAUUUACUUACAUCAANAGAAUUUAUUUUGGUUGAAAGUUGUAGAGUGUUUGAUGGAGUUUCGAUGGAAAGAUAUUUCUCUGAAAUGAUUUUGUAAGCUGUUUAGCAAAAAUUUUUGGAUCUUGGUAUAUAAUAAUUUAUUUUUACUAAAUUUUAUUUCUAAACAUUUCAAAUUUAAAUUAAAAUUAAAAUUUUAAUUUCAAUUGAAAUUUUAAAAUUUAAGUUGCACGAAAAUUUGAAUUUUAACAUUAUAAUUUAAAAUAUAUAUUUAAAAUUUAAAAUUUAAAUUUUAAAAUUUAAAUUUAUAAAUCUAAAUUUAAAUUUUUAAUUUCAAAUAUAAAAUCUAAAUUUAAAUUUUGAAAAUUGAAAUUUAACAUCUGAAAAUUUGAAAUUUAAAGUUUGAAUAUUAAAAACUUAAAACUAAAAAUUUAAAAUUUAAAUUUAAAGUUAAAUUUAAAUUUUAAAUUUAAAUUAAAUUUUAUUCUAAAAUUUCAAAUUUUAAAUUUUAUCUUAAAGAUCAAAUUUUAAAAUUUAAGAUAUAAAAUUUAAAAUUUAGAUUUUAAAUUUAAAUUUUAAAUUUAAUAUCUAAAUUUUUAAUUUUAUAUUUUGAAUUUAUAAAUUUAAAAUUUAGAAUUUUGAAAUUUAAAAUUCAAAUAUAAAUUUAAAAUGUAACAUUAAAAUUUGAAUUUAAAUUUAAAAAUUUAAAUCUAAAAUUGAAAUAAAAAUUUAAUGUUUGAAUUCAAAAUCAGAAUCAGAUUAAAAAACAUGUUUUAACUAUAUUUGAUUUUGGGCCUCGAAAAUUAAAAAAACUGAUUUUAAAAAUUAGAAUCAGAUUUGGAAACGAGUUUGUCAAAUGCUCUAUUGAGCCAAGAAUUAUUUUUUGAUCCAAAAUCACCUUUUAGAAGUUUUGACCGUUUGGUUUGGAGUAAGUGGAAGAGUAAAACUCAAGUUCCAUCACUUUCAGCGUUUGUUUUGGUACAAGCCCAAAAAAGAACGUAACCUAAGUUAUGUUAAUUAGAACUUCAUUUUACCUACUGUCUACUUCUUCCUUUAGAGUGCUGAACUCAAGUUCCACCAUACUCAACCUUCUCUAAAAAAUUAAUUAAAUAUUUAAAACCUAAACGUUACUUUACAAUGAGUUAGAAUUACCUCUUUACAAUGAUUAGGCUUACCUUUAAAUAAUAAUGAAGAAUUUAAUAAUUUAAUAUGUUGGAUUUGUGGGGGUAAGUUUAUUACUAUAUUUAAAAGAUAAUUAGAUUUAUUUACUUACAUCAAAUCAAACAAUAGAACUAAAAAAACUAGUUACACUAGUAUCAAGUUACACCAAAACAAACAAAAAAAUUAUUUAAAUUUAAUUUUCAGUAUGUAUGAGUCACAUCAAAAUAAACAACGAAAAAAUAACUAGAGAAAACUUCAAAAACCCCCCCUGUGGUUUCGUGCAUUCUCACUUUGCUACCCUGUGGUUUAAAACGUAUCAAUUUGCCCCCCUAUGGUUUCGUUUUUAUCUUUUUGCUAUCAAUUUUAUUAUUAUUAUUUUUUUAAAUCAGUGACAAAGUUAAAAUUAAAGGAUACUAAAGUGACUAUUCGAUAAAUAUAGAUGAUUAUCUGAAGUUUUUUGUAUAUAAUUUAACGAAAUAUUAACGAAAAAGCUUCCGAAAAGAUAAAAAUGAAACCACAGGGGGGUAAAUUGAUACGUUUUAAACCACGGGGUAGCAAAGUGAGAAUGCACGAAACCACAGGGGGGGUUUUUGAAAUUUUCCCAAAUAACUAUACUUCAAGAAAAUUUCAACACCACUAUAGUUGAGUUACGUUGAAUCUGGUGAUUCAUCAAUCCAAACACCUCCUGAGCAAAACACCCACUUACAUGGAUUACAAGCUAGAUCAAAACUCUCUGAUGCUUAGAUCAAAACUCUCUGACGCUUAAUUGGAUGGUGUUGGGAGCCGAAUUUCCCGACCCUAGACCCGAUCAAAGAUCCUCCUCGGGAAGCGCGUCGGGGUGAGGAACGGCUGCGGAUAGUGACCCUCGAAGUUUGCACCCUUCGACAGAUCAAGCGAUUCGGCUGACGAGAGAUCGGAUCAGCCGAGUUCGAAAACCUUUACCGUAGAAUCGGUUCGGCUGGAUGAGCUGAAUGUAUGAACUGUGCAGGAAUCAAUGUCGGCAGAAGAGCCGAUUAGAAGAAGUACACAGUAACUGAUCGGCUGAAAGAGCCGAAUAAAUGAAAUACACAAUAACUGGUCGGCUGAAAGAGCCGAAUAUAUAUAUAUAUAUAUAUAUAUAUUAAUUAAUUAAACAAAGUGUGCCCAAAGGGCAUACAGAUUCUGCAAAUAUAGUUUGCAACAGAGUGAUGCCCAUGGGGCAGACAGACUCUGCAAAUGUAGUCUACAACGGAGUGAUGCCCGUGGGGCAGACAAACUCUAGGGUUCUACUUAGCGAACUACUCCUAGAAAAGCAGUAAAUGUGGAAAAGAAAAAGAUUACAUUUAGACUACUCCUAUAAAAGCGAUAAAAUGUAGAGAAAAUAAAAGUGGUCUUUUGUUCACAGGGGAAAAUACAUUUAUUACAGGCUUUGAAGUUACUAUUUAUAGUGAUGUCUUCUCGGCCCACAUUAUUGGUCGGUUGAAAGUAGUGGGGGGAGUGGUUGUAACCAUAAUCGUGGAAGUUACGCCGACUCCUCAUGAAAGUUACGCUCUAUCAUGGAAGUUAUGCCCACUUUUCAAACGUUCCUGCCUAAAACCUUCAUGCGCCUUAUUGCCGACUCCUGAUAUACCACGUGUCCUUAUUUGCUCAUACGUGGUUAAUUUCAAUUUUGGCAUCAACAGAUGGAUAUGCUACUUGCUCUCUUGAUGAUUGUAGGUUGUCAAGAUUAUUCUUGAAUUAUUAUUUCUAUUGACUCAAGUUUUUGAAGCUUAAGUUUUGUCAUUUUAAAGAACUUUAAAUUUAAUAUCUUUUGCAUGUUUACCCAUUAACAAAAUAUAAUAUGAACAAAUAUUUUAGAACUUUGUUCGAUAUGAAUUCAAUUAAGCCCAACAUUAAAUGUCAUAAAUGAACAACUAUGUAUGGGGCCAUACCAUAUAAUUGACUCGUGUUACAAAUAUAAAACUGGUAGGUGAAAAGGGCAAAAUAUCUACUGUUAAAAAGAAUGGUUAAUUCCACACCAGGACAAAGAAGCGAGCAGUACUGGACACUGCAUACAGUUUCUGUUGCCAUUUCGGUGAGAAUAAUUUGGAUACUGUUCAGCAUAAAAUUAUAGACUUACAUAAGGAAUUAAUUGAAGAGGAUCAAAAGCAAAAUGUUUUAAAGCAAAGUAUUUAGUAACUUAAUAAUCUAAUUAGUGAAAAAAAAGUUGAAUGAGGAAAUAAGUUGUGAACGAGUAGGAUUCCCUAGGCAGCAUUUGGUUCGAGAACAGAGGAAAAAUAACCUUUUGUUCCCGAUUUAUUUCUAAACGUAAAUUUUAUACUCAAGAACAGUAAUUUUCAGAUCUCUACAAUAAGCUAGUAUAAUUCGAUAUAAGUCUAUAAUUGUUGUUCCUGUUAAAGAUAUGCCUUUUUUUUUAUUAGUUUGAUUUAUACACCCGAUUUAUGGAAAAAUAAAAAGGAUCUCAUGAGGAUUUAUUUUGAUGGAUUCUAAUUUAUAUUGGAAUCCUAAGUGGACUAGAAUUGGUUUUCAUAUGAGACUAUAUUCAAUUAUCAUAUCGAAUUAGAGUAGGAUUGAACUAAUACAUCCAUGUAUAAAUAUGCAUUGGAACGUACAGUGUAGAGCUGUGUGGUGGCCAAAAUUAAUUAGAGACGCUAAUUAAUUAAAGGUGGCCGGCUCUACUGGAGAGAUGUACGGUUUCGCGGGUGCAUGGUGUAGAGGCCAAAUUAAUUAGCAUUCGGUAACUAGCUAAUUAAUUAAGGUGCCCGUCCGUACGGUAGCAAGAGAAGGAGGUUGCUCGCAUGCGACGGAUUGAGGUUGGCGGCGGAGCGGCGGUUCUCGACUAAUUGUCUGAGCGGUUCGCAUUCUUCAAAACAACGGCAUAAAGGAAUUUGAUUAGAGUUUCUAUACUUCUCUAAUUUGGUCUUCUCGGUUUUACGAAAAACUUUUUCGGUAUUUUCUUGGAGUUUUCGUUGGAACAAGAGAAAUGUGGGAUUCACCAUAAGGCUCUUGGUUUUUUAUCCGGAGAAGACAUAAGGUAUAAGCUUAUACUUCUAUUUUUUCAUAUAGUGGAAUACAUCUUUCUCACUCUUCCCGUGGAUGUAGGCAAUUGCCAAACCACGUAAAUCUUAGUUUCUUUUUUCUGCAUUUAUUUUUUCUUUUACCGUUCGUUUGAUGUUUUCUCUAUUUUCGUGCAUCUUUGUUGGUAGCGCAUGACGGACGAUCCAUCCGAUUCCCAACAAGUGGUAUCAGAGAUUAAGAUUCGCGCUACAUCAGAGAUGUCGAAGGUCUCGUCUUCUAAGUUUGAGGUGGAGAAAUUUGACGGUAAAGAAAACUUCGGUCUUUGGCAGAGAAGAGUGAAAGCCUUUCUGGUUCAACAGGGUCUUCAUAAGGCGUUGCUCGAAAAAUCGAAAAAGCCGACAUCGAUAAGCGACGAAGAUUGGGAGGAUAUUGAUCUGUGGGCGGUGAAUACAAUUAUAUUGUGUCUAACAGAUGAGGUGAUGUAUAACGUCAUGGACGAAAAACUACAGUCGGCAUGUGGAACAAACUAGAGAAGCUGUACAUCACAAAAAGCCUCUCAAACGUGCUGUACCUAAAGCAAAAAUUAUAUGGGCUACGCAUGAAGGAAGGUACGACAAUAACGAAACACUUGAACACCUUUAAUAAAAUUAUUGCAGAUUUGCUCAGCAUUAAUGUCAAGAUUAACGAGGAUGAUAAGGCGUUGAUUUUUCUUACAUCACUUCCGUCGUCCUACAAUCACUUGGUGACCACCGUACUGUACGGAAAGCAAACUCUAAAGAUGGAAAAUGUUACAUCGAUACUUUUAUCUAAAGAGAUUAGCUUGCAGGCGAGCACCGAAAAAAGCAGUGUAGGUUUGGUCGUAAAUGAUACAGGUGGAGGAAGGGGACGAUUAAGCGAACGUGGUGAAGGUAAAGGAAGAUCCCGUUCCAAGUCAAAAUCAAUAAAGAUGAAGUGUUACUUCUGCAAGAAAGAGGGCCACGUGAAAAGAAACUGCGAGAAGAGGAAGGUUUGGCUGCAAAAACUAGAUUCCUCUGCAGAUACGGCGAGCGUAGCUAGCGACACUAGUCAGGAUGUUUUGACGGUUUCUACAGGUUCAGAAUCUCUCAAUGACUGGAUAUUGGAUUCGGGUUGUUCUUGUCACAUGACUCCGGACAGAUCUUUAUUUGAUACUUAUAAAUCUUGUGAAAGCGGUAGUGUUAUGAUGGGCAAUCGCACUAGCUGCAAGAUGGUCGGUAUCGGAACAGUAAAAAUAAAGAUGUUUGAUGGUGUGGUGAGAACGUUGACGAAUGUGAGACACAUUCCGGUUCUUAGAUUGAAUUUGAUAUCGCUUCGUACUCUUGACUCUAUUGGCUGUUCUAUUAGCAUUUCAGGUGGAGUCGUCAAGGUGAAAAAGAGUGCUAUGGUAGUCAUGAAGGGAGAGAAGGAGGGGAAUCUGUACAAGCUGAUCGGUAAGCCGGUAACAGCGGAGAAGUCUAGGCAUUCUUUAGACUUCGCUAACCUGCAUGACUGUUAAUGUCAAGAUGCCUCAGGGAAAGGGAGUGAUAAGAUGAGAGAGAAUAAUGAAAUAAAAAAAAAGUCAAUGUGGAGAAUGUUAAAGAUAUGCUUUCUUUUUUAUUGGUUUGGUUCAUACAUCGGGUUUAUGAAAAAAUAAAAAGGAUCUCAUGAGGGUUUAUUUUGGUGGAUUCUAAUUUAUAUUGGAAUCCUAAGUGGACUAGGAUUGGUUUCCAUAUAAGACUCUAUAUUCAAUUAUCAUAUCGAAUUAGAGUAGGAUUGAACUAAUGCAUCCAUGUAUAAAUAUGCAUUGGAACGUACGGUGUAGAGCCGUGUGGUGGCCAAAAUUAAUUAGAGACGCUAAUUAAUUAAAGGUGGCCGGCUCUAAUAGAGGGAUGUACGGCGUCGUGGGUGCAUGGUGUGGAGGCCAAAUUAAUUAGCAUUCGGUGCCUAGCUAAUUAAUUAAGGUGCCCGUCCGUACGGUAGCAAGAGAAGGGAGGUUGCUCGCAUGCGACGGAUUGAGGUCGGCGGCGGAGCGGCGGUUCUCGACCAAUUACCUGAGCGGUUCAGAUUCUUCGAAGCAACGGCAUAAAGAAAUUUGGUUAGAGUUUCUAUACUUCUCUAAUUUGGUCUUCUCGGUUUUACGAAAAGCUUUUUCGGUAUUUACUUGGAGUUUUCGUUGGAACAAGAGAAAUGUGGGAUUUACUAUAAGGCUCUUGAUUUUUUAUCCGGAGAAGACAUAAGGUGUAAGCUUGUACUUCUAAUUUUUCAUAUAGUAGAAUACAUCUCUCUCGCUCUUCCCGUGGACGUAGGCAAUUGCCGAACGACGUAAAUCUUAGUUUCUUUUUUCUGCAUUUAUUUUUUCUUUUACCGUUCGCUCGGUGUUUUCUCUAUUUUUCGUGCAUCUUUGUUGGUAGCGCAUGACAGACGAUCCAUCCGGUUCCCAACAGUUCCACCAUGUUUCUGGAAUAAGUUUGUUGCCAAGUAAGGGUGGAACUGGGCUGGGCUUGGGUCGGGUAAUACUAUACCGAAGCCCGGCCCAAAAAAAUAUGUUGGGCUUCGGGUCAGGCUUUUACCCAAUUUUUUUUGAAAAUUAAGGCCCGGCCCAAGCCCAAGUCCAAUACCCAAUACCUAUCGGGCUUUGUGAAGGCCCAUUUUAUAUAUUUAUCAUGUAAUAAUAAAUACUUUUAUUUGUAUAAAAUUAAAAUAAAAUAUCUAUUUUUACUGAGAUUUGAUCACAACAAAGAAAUUAAAAUCUAACAUCAAAUAUAAUACCAUUAAUAUCUACCAAUAAUUAUCCAUCAAUAAAAUAAGACUAAACAAAGAAAAUUAAUAAACUAAAAUUAAGACUUAGACUCCGAUACUAGCGAUCAAAGUAAAUUAUAAGAUAGAAACUUUUCAUAUAAAAGUAGAACAGUUAAUUAAUUAGGACAUAUAUAAUUUUUUAAAGAAGUAUUGUAGUAUUUUAAAAUUAUCCUUAAGUUAUGUAUAUAGAACGUCUAAUAAAUUUUUUAAAAAAUUUUAAAAUACUAUAUAUUUAGUAAGUGUUAUGUGCAUAACUAAUUAGUUAUAUAUAAUAAUAUGUACCAUAUAUUUACUUACUUAGAAAUAUGUAUAAUUAAUUAAUUAUAUAUAAUAAUACUAUUUAAUAUAUACUAAUAUGGAAUUAAAUAUUUUGUUAAUAUAUAAUAUAUUCUCAUAUAUAUAUAUAUAUAUAUAAUUAAAUACUUUAUUUUAAUAAUUAAUAUAUUGAGCUUUUGGGUCGGGCUCGGGCCGGACUUGGACAUGCCCAAAUAGGCCCAAAAAUUUUUCGGGCCUAAAUUUUAAUGCCCGGCCGGAAUUCAAAGUCUAGUUUUUAAUGUCCAAAGCCUGGCCCAAACAUGGCCCAUCGGGCCGGGCCUUGUAUAGGCCCGGGCCCAGUUCCACCCCUAUUUCCAAGUGAAAAUAAGAUUAAUUAAAAUCUAAAUUUAAUUUUUAUUAUGAUAUUAAAUUAUUAAUUAAUCUAGUUAAUAUAUUUAAAUCAUUAUCCAUUGCUUAAAUAAUAAAAUAAUUAAUUUAUUUAUUACUUAUAAUUAAUUAGCUAAUUAAUUAUUAAUAAUUUAAUAUGUUUAUUUUUAAACUAAUAUUUAUAUUAAUCAAUCAUUAAUAUUUUUUAUUAAUCUAAUUAUUUUUUUACUAGUUAUCUAACUAAAAUAAUUUACUAACUAAUUAAAAGGUUAAAUUAAUUUUUUUAUAUUUAAUUAAUUAAUUAAUAUAAAUUUAUUAUCUUACACAAUAUUCGUAGUUAAUAAAUUUAUUAAUUUAUUAAAUUAUUUUUAAUUAAUAUUUUCAUAUUAAUUAAUUAGAUAAAAUAUUUUUAAUUUAAAAUUUAACUCUUAUUCUUCAUAUUCCAAUUUAACUACUCAAACACUCUUUACCUUAUUUUAAGAAACAACUUAAUUUUAUUAUAAACGCAAAACUAGUCUAAUUCAUGCGUAUACCUGAACUUGUAAUGAUUUUUGAAAAAAGUAGUUCUUAUUUAUACUCAAAUUAAAUGCAGCUUAAGUUACUGAACCAAUGUUAAAACAACUAAUAAAUAGAAUGUUAUGUUUUCUUAUAUAACUAAAUUAAUAUACUAUAUAAAUUAAUAUACUUCAGGUAAUAAUCACUGCUCGGAAUGACUACUAGUUAUUCGGGACAAAGGACUAUCCAAAAGAUAGGAGGUUACGUUCCUUGUGUGUUUCAGAAAUUAAACAAAAAUAAUUCGAGCUCUUAGCAUGUUGAGUUUAUAGUAUUUGUUUUGGAGAGUUUCUUAGCAUAUAAAAAAUUUUGGACAUGUGAAAAAACAAAAAAAAUCAAUUGUGUAUUAUUUGGACGAAAGUCUUAGUCCCGUGAACCUUCUUUUGUUUUGUUUUUGAGUUGGUCUAAGCUCGGACAAAGACAUGAUAAGCCGUGUUCAUACCAGAGUGAUUAAGUGUCAUGCCCCCGCCCCGAGUCCGCUACCGAUUUGGUCCGGUUCGGGCGCGCUGAACGGACAGCAAUUCCCCUAUCCGCCCAAGACUAAAACGACGAGAUCAUGUAUACAAGUUCCCAGAAAAUACACUUAAUUACAUACAUGAUCUAACAAUGACGACGAAGCACAAACAGUACUGUUUAUCAACCAAGAGCAAGCAAUACAAGUAAAGCAUACGAGUGAUAAAAGAGAGGUGUAUUUAACUAUUAAACUCAUUUAACUUUAUACAAUUAUUUCAUCUUUUAUAUUCUUCCAGAACAUAUGUACAAUCACUCUCAAAACCUCAUCCUAUACAACAUCUACUCUCAAUAUAAGUGCAGGGUAGAGCUAAUGCAAAAGAAAGUAAAGCUAGCUAUGUACAUAUACCACUAGGGCGCUAUGCCCUUGCCACGAUCCUCGCGCUCGCAGGGACACUCGAACUCGGACCUGCAACAAAGUGGGAUGAGAACUACGAAUAGUUCCCAGUGGGUUUGGCAGCCGACUCCGCCGAUCUUCCCACUAAGGUCUAAGCAGGCAUAAGUAGAUAUGCAGAUAGAUAGGUAUAUAAACUUGAGAGCGAUAACAAUUAAGAGCUAGCAUUAAAUAGGAAUGUGAGUACUCUACCAUGCCUCAAUCUGAUAUCAUGCAUGCAUGUAAUUCAUAAGGAAUUUGUAGCUACCAUACUACUAUGCUCAACAAUAAAGGUUAUUUAUUACUUUACCCAAUCAUUUGAUCAAUCCUGUAACUCAAUCUCACGUUUAUAAGUCUCAUAGGGAAAAGCCUCGCUGAACUAUUCCCCGAGACCGCCUGCGGACAGAUUCACUGACUGUCCAGGCAGCGCAUAGCGACUGCCCCUCGAGUGACAAAUACUCCGGAGUGCACAGCCUGUGGGGAGCGACCCCUACAAGCGCAUACAGGCUAUGUGAGCUUAAUCUGAACUCAUGAACAGGUCCUACCAACUAAGGUUGGUCUCAUCAUAGAAUCAAGCAUUCCAAUACCCAAGCUCAUAGUGUUUUGACUACACUAGGGUUCUCAUGUUCAAAGUCAACUAGAUGCCACUUGUUCAUGUUUGUUGUUAACUAGAUACCACUCGUUCUUUGACAAGUUCUCAAUACUCUAGUCCACACUGUACUAGGUUUUCAUAGCUACAUUCAACACAUAUAGGGUUACACUGUAUCAUACUACCUCGAGCACACUAGGUUCUAAUGCUAUAUCAACUAAGCCACAUUAACGCUAGCAUGCAAUUAUAGAUAUUAUUAACUUAGUUCCCUAUAUGCCACAUAUUCAAUAUGCAAUUGAUCAACAUAAUAACUCAGACAUAAGGAGCAGUUCAACUGCUUCGGGAUGGCACUCCCCCACCUCUUGGUAGUGCCGCGUAGCUAGGAAACUCGACGUCGCGAUCCUCGUACGUCGCUUCAACUCCUCGGGGCAAAGCGAACCCUCAAGUACUCGUUUCGGCGAUAUCUUCGCACUCGCUCGUCGGAUCGACGAACCGUAUUCGCCUACGCGUUCGAAGACUUAGCAAUUAGAUUAACGACCUAUUAAACGAGAUCAAAACCCUAGAUUUCUAAAGAUCCCAAAUCCGUGCUCUAGGUUGGCAACGGUGAGGAAAUCCGUGGUGCGAGCUUCAAAUGCUAGCUCGAACCAUCACCUUAGCUUCAAUAGGUUCCAUUCAAACCAUUUCUAAGCAACAAAACCCUAGUUCACCAAAAUCCACCAUUAAAGGGUUUGAGGUUUACCUCAAUACCAAGCUCCAAGCUUGAGAGAGGGAGAGAAGAAGAUGACUUCUUCUUCUUCCUAGUCUUCUCCUUCCUCUUUCUCUUCUUCUCCUUCCUCUUCUUCCUCUCCUUCUUCUUCUCCUUCUUUUCUUUCUAGAGAGAGAGAGGGAAAGAGUAUGAGAGGGAAAGAGACAAAUGAGAGGAAUGGGAGAGAAGAGUGGUCCCCAAGCCUCUCAUAUAAGCCACUUUGCAAUUAGCCCCCUCAACUUUCCAUCCUCUGCAGCAGCCCUCACUGGGCAUUUUCGCAGCGAGGGACCGGUCCCAGCUCGGGGAGACCAGGGACGGGGAGACUGGUCCCCGAGAGCCUCCCAUUCGAGAACCGGUCCCUGCCUGAGAGAUCGGUCCCCGGGAGACCGGUCUUUGUCCGAGAGACAGGUUCCCGAGAAUUGGAUUUUCGUGACUUAGCCAAAUUUCGGCUUUUCUCACUGGGUUAACGUUCGGGGACCGGUCCUCCCCUGCCAGGGACCGGUUGCAUCAAGGAUCCCCGCCAGCCCAGCCUGAUGGGGACCGGUCCCCGAGAGCAAUUUUGCUCCAGUGCAAAUUUUGCACUGCUGCUCUCGCGAACUCUCCUUAAUGCACUUCAUGCAUUUUAACCACCUCCGGAAAGCUCGACAAUUAGUCUAGAUUCUAGACGAAGUCUAAUUCUCGGAUUUCGAGAAUUCACUUACUUACAUUAAGCUUAUUUUAUUUAGAAAUAAAUUUAGCUGGAAAUGUGAAUCAACUAGAAUUCAAAUUUUGGACCUUGGGUAUCAAUUACCAAGCUUUUCGCCACUUGCUCUAGAGACGGUACGUAAUUGCACACUUUUUUAAACCCGGUGUAUAGGACCGCGCGCGCCGUCGCCCGCCUAGCUCGUACUCGUACCGUGCGUGUAUUUAAACGAGAGUAUAACUUUCAUUUUCUUCCAAACAACUUGCUUGAGAAUAAAAAAAUAUUUAUACACCAUCAAACUCUUUUAAUUUUCAAUGUGGGACUAAAUCUUACACAUGAAAAUUUUAGUUGGGUUCCCAAGUAAGGCCCAUUAAUAAUUAUUGGGCUCCCAAGAGCCUUAACAAGUUUUAAAUCACAAAAAUCCAAUAAAAUCCAAUAAAAACAACUAAUAAAUAAAAUUUAAUGUUUUCUUAUAUAACUAAAUUAAUAUACUAUACAAAUUAAUAUACUUCACGUAAUAAUCACUGCUCGGAAUGGCUAGUAGUUAUUCGUGACAGAGGACUAUCAAAAAGUUAAGAGGUUACGAUCCUUGUGUGUUUCAGAAAACAAAAAUAAUUCAAGCUCUUGGCUUGUUGAAUUUAUAGUGUUUGUUUUUGUGAAACAAUCGUUAUAUUUUAAAAACUUAAACGGUUAGAAAAUGUUAUUUAAAUAUUUUUAUAUUUAACACUUUUUUUCAUAUAUGUGCUCGAGACUUUUUAAUUGGUCCAUAACGUUGGCUUAAAUUAAAUAGGAGGAAAUUAACAUAUUAGGCGCUUGGCGUGACUCGAACUCAGGACCUUCUGCUCUGAUAUCAUGUGAAACAAGUCCUGCUAUGAUAUCAUGUGAAACAACCGUUGUACUUAAAAAACUUAAGAUGUUAAAGAACAGUGUUUAAACAUUUUUAUAUUUAACACUCUCCAUCACGUCACGUCUGGACUCAAAACUUUUUGCAAGGAUCUUCUAUUGUAAUACUAUGUAAAGCAAUCGUUGUACUCUAAAAGCUAAAGCUAUUAGAGAACCCCCUCACGUCUGGACUCGAGACUUUUUUUUUUAAGUCGGCCCAUGACGUGAGUUUGAAUUAAAUGGGAGAAAAUUAAUAUACUAGGAGCCUGGCGUUACUCGAACUCAGGAUCUCCUGCUCUGAUGUUAUGUGAAACAAUCGUUGUAUUCUAAAAUCUUAAGCUGUUAAAAAAAACGAUGUUUAAAUAUUUUUAUAUUUAACCGUUUUGAAGAGUUUCUUAACAUAUAAAAAAUGUUGGACAUGUGAAAAAAAAAAAAAAAAAAAUUGUGUAUUAUUUGGACGAAAGUCCCGUGAAGCUUCUUUUGUUUUAUUUUUGAGUUGGUCUAAGCUCAGGACAAAGACAUGAUAAGCCGUGUUCAUACCAGGGUGAUUAAGCUCAGGACAAAGACUUGAUAAGUCGUCUUGAACCGACUUAAUCACUCUGGACCACUUAAUUAAUUGCACAUUUUUUUAAACAUCAAAAAAUCCAGUAAAACGACAACAUGUAUCGUAUGUAUGUAUAUGGAUAUGUGACUCAGACCACUUAAUUCAUAGGAGAAACCCAACCCAUAUUCCCAAUUAAGAAAAGGUCAAGGUAAACGGAAAAAAAAUAAUAAAAAUAAAAAAUAAAAAUAUCCCACUCUCGAUCUAGUGCGCGCAAAGUUUCUCUCAGUUUCCACUGUACUCGUCUCGCUAGCUAUUUAAGAUGGCGGCCAGUGCCAUGCUCAUUCCAUUUCCCUCCGCUCGCGCGCGCGCUCUCUCUCUCUCUCUCUCCAGUUGCUUUCGUAGCAUUAAUUAAAAAGCCCUGUCUAUCUAAGAAAACACAUACAUAAUAACAAAUGGUUACUUGGAUCACCCACCACUUGGUCCUGCAGCCUUAGCAACAGGGCGCGCUUCUUGAUCCCUCCCGCUUGACAUGUUGAAUGAUCAACAACGGCCUGACGGCACCGGAGAGGAGCAUGAUCCGCCGCACGAAGAAGCGGAAUUCCGCGACAUCCACCCGCUGACUCCGCGACCACCACCGUCGGUCCGAUCAUCGGGCGGGAGGCGCGGGGAGUACUCGAGCCACCACCGGUCGCCGGCGGCGCUCUCGGUGGGGAGCGACGCCGCCCUGAGCGAGCAGCUGACGACGAUGAGCAGGGAGUUCAGCGCGAUGCUCGUCGCGGGCUCCGCCUUGCAGCUGGGUGACGCCGCCAGCAACGUCGACAACGACACCACCCUCGCCAGGAUCGGCGAGGAGGACCGCCUCGAGGAGACGAACCCGCUCGCCAUCGUCCCCGACACCAACCCCAUCCCGUCCCCGCCUCCCGAGGCGGUGGCCGCGCUGGAGGAGGUCUCCGUGGCGCAGGUCAAGAAGGAGGAGGUCGAGUCCAAGAUAUCGGCCUGGCAGACCGCCGAGGUCGCCAAACUCAACAACAGGUUCAAACGCGAAGAGGUCGAGAUCAACGGCUGGGAGAGCCACCAUGUCGAGAAGGCCACGGCCUGGCUAAAGAAAAUAGAGGUACCGUACCGUACCGUACCCUGCCUUUCUUUAUUAUAUAAGACGUGUCCUGUCUAAUUUCGAUCUUGAAUUUUCCGUACGCUAUCUGUCUAUCUAUCUAUCUAUCUAUCUAUUAUUAUCGUGGGAAUGUGUUUAUGAGAUUAAUUUCUAAUUUUUCUUUUUUCAAUUGGGGAUUGCAGAGGAAGUCGGAGGAACAGAGGGCGAGGGCGAUCGAGAAGGCGCAGAACGACGUGGUGCGGGCGCGGCGCAAGGCCGAAGAGAAGAGGGCAUCGGCGGAGGCGAAGAGGGGGACCAAGGCGGCGAGGGUUCUGGAGCUCGCCAAUUUCAUGAGGGCCGUGCGUAGAGCGCCAUCAAAGCGCUCCUUUUACUAAGUAAUUAAUUAUUAUUGGUUUAUAUUUAAUUAAUUUGCUUGCUUGAAUCAAUUGUCUCUGCUUUUAAUUUCUCAUCACGCGGAGAGCUUUUUAAAUUCCAAUUGUAUCAUCGUUGUUGUUGGAAUUACUAUGCGGUGGAUCAACUUAGCAGGGGAGGUGUUGUAAUUAUUAUUAAAUUAAGAAGAAGGAAAAGUCGCAGAAACAGGGAACAGUUUUUAAGGUUUCUGAAGGCUCUCUGUUGAAGGCUCUGUGUUGUAAAGGCGUGUAUGUUUGAAGAAAUUAUGAGAGAUUAGUAUUUUAGUGCUUUUUUUUUUUAUUUGUCUUUAGUAAAUGACCACUGAUAUUAAUUAGUUAAGAAAAAACAAAAAAAACAAAAAUUAAGGGACACUUUGCAAAAGACUGUAUCAAAGGAGAUUAGAUACAGUUCAUUGAUCAUUUUUAUUCAAUGCACACUCAUAUUUACUUUCUUAUAGAGAAUGAAGCAUAGUUUAAUCUGAUGGCUUGGAUUGACAAAAAAAAGAAGAAGAAGAUAAUAUCAAAUUCUUCUUAUAAAUCUGAAUGAUAACCCCAUAGAAUUUUGCUCAGCUACUGCCUCCGCGAAUUUAAUAACGGAGAGAGUCCAGGAUGUUUUGCUUUUGCGCCUCUCGCACCGCAAACGAGCCCUCUGUAGCAAUUAUAAUUAUUUUUUGUGCGAAGCUUGUAAAUAGCCCGUUGUUCUUCAUCGACCUAAUUGAUUGCUGCCGUUCAAAUGUUGGUGAAAUACAGAAUGGAUUUCGGGGGCGCCUGCUAGUCCAAAAGGCACCCUGGGGAACACUGCAUUUAAUACCCAAAGAAACGGUGACCGUCCUAAUGGUGGGCUGAAUUAAUUAUGACAUGAGGCUUGCUCCCGGAAGACCUAAUCCAAAACUACGGUGCGACCCCCGCUAGCUUUCCUUUAAAUACAAUAUUCAAAUGUAAUUUAAAUAUUUCUUUAUUUAGGAAUAGGUUUAUUUAUGGCAAUAUCAUUACGUUAAAUUACCGCGUGAUUUGAGCAUGUGGGCUCAAAAUAAUGUAAUUCUUGACAAUAAAAGAUUAAUAAUCAGAAUUUUCUCUUUUUCUGUCUUAGCCAUCCUUUUCUCUCUACUUUUCUACUCUCGACAGGUCCAAUUAUCUCAAAGUGACUUACUAUUUCUUUUGAUAGAGCAAAGCCAUGUUAUUAGGUAUCAAAGUCUUGUAUGGUCUUGACUUGAGCAAGAAAUAAAAUAUCUUGAGAAAGAUGAACAGAGAAUUCGUAAAAAAAAACAAUAUGAAGGUAUAAUUUUUCAUUGUCGAUGUUUGAUUCAACAAAUUAGAGAUUGAAGUAACAUUCAUUAGCGAUUUUGUUAAUGAUCUUAAGAAUUUAAUCAUCGUUAUGAACGUAAAGAUGGAUGUGUGACCACACGUACUGUCCGAAGAUACAUCCGUCUCGAGUUCCAACAAAAAAUAGACCUUUACUUCCAAAUCCCUUAAAGGAAGAGGACUAGUUCCUUUUACAGAAAAUUCUGUGGUGAUGUGCCUGGAGUUUUCUUGAUUUGAUAGAGAGGAUCCAACGACAAAGGUGUACUUAGGGCCUGUUUGUUUCGACGGAAGUGGGGUGGAAGUGGGACGGGGAAAGUGAUUUUCGGUGAAAACUAACCACUUCCGCUGUUUGGUUCACCGUAAGUUUAUUACGCCCGAAAGUUCAGUUCACCCAAAAUAAGGAACUUGACUUCGCCCUCCCAUGGGGCGAAGUCAAUUUCGGUGAAGUGAAAAAAAGGCAAGAAUGGAUUAAUGUGUUAGGGUUACCUCUUCAUUUCAUCCAAAUAUAUUCAAUUGUGAAAAUAAUUAAAUUUUUUAUUUUGAUUGUAUGUCUAAAAUAUGAUCAAAUUUGAUUAGGUAAGUUUUAAUAUAUUUUUGUUUAAUUUGUAUAUUUAGAAAAUGAUGAAAAAUAAAUUUGUUAAAUGUUAAUAAUUUUUUAACUUUAGAAUUUUAUUUGUUGCAUUAUUAUAAUUUAUAUGCAAACAAAUAAUAUAAUUUUUUAAAAUUUUAUUUUAUAAUUAUACAUAUAUAUAAUUAUAUACAUAUAUAAUUAUAUUAAUUUUUAUUUAUUAUAAUUUAUUAUUCACUAUAAGUUAUAAAAUAGACAAUAAUAUCACUUUGGAGGCAAGUAUACCGGGGGUGGAGAGCUACACUUUUUACGUCAUUUACUUCCUACCAAACAAACAACAGAAUUCGCAGAACUACACUUCCACAGUUAGAAACAAACAGCAGAAGUGAAUUAAUUUUCACCCCAACUCCACUUCAACCCAAAGUCCACUUCCACCCCAAGUCUACUUACGUUGAAACAAACAUGCCUUUAGCAGAGCAAGUUUUUAAAUUUAACCAAACACUAGAUGCCCAAAGAGUCCCGUUUGCAUCCUACCAUAUGGAAAAGAAAGUAUUAUAUUGAAUCAUGCGAUGUUGAAUUUCUCGAGGAGGGCUUUCCUUAUAGAUGUGAGGUUCGAAAUAAAAUUGAAUUUUAUGAGAUAGAUGACUCUGGUAUUGGCGGUUCUAUACGUUCAGUUAAGGUACAUGAGGCAACUCCAAUAUUUUAUGGGGAUAGUGGGAAGUUCCAAUGCACCAUAGUUUUUGAUUCCUGUUGAAACUAGUCUUUCUUUUGUUUGUAAUAUAAAAUUUCUUUUGCCAUUUUGAGCAUCGAAAAAAAUCCAUGUGAGUCUUUUGAGUUUGUCUCUGACUCGGUGGAUCCAUCGUAGGUCCGGUUGACUUCUUGCGCAUCUAAGGUUCGUACGCAACUUUGACGGGUGGUCUUUAAUUUGUCACGCCUCGAGAUCCUUUUUAGUUUAUAAAACAGCGAAAAUGUCCAAUACUUUUUUUUUUUUGAAAACCAUGACCCAAGGGAUGACAGACCUGCCACAAAUACAGGAGAUCCACUGUUCACAUGGACAGAGUGUAAUGUACUGGAUUUUAAUAUAAAAGUAAGUAUAAAUAAAAAUAGUGUAAGAUACUAUUUUUAUUGGACUUAAAGAAGUGAAAUAUAAGUUGAAAAUGAUUUGUGCUGAAAUUGGAAUGGAAACAAAAGAUUUAGAAUUUUCUGUAAGAAACGGGGCUGAUCUUUUAGUAGAAAAUUCAGUGUCAGAAAAUUGUGAAAAUUUGAGAAUAUGUCGGAAUUAUUUUUAUGAAGCUAGAUUUAAAGUUUCAUGUCAUUCCGACACCCGAAAAGUGAAAAAUAAAAUCUGACAGCUAUUUACUAGAGAUUUUAGUCGGUAGAGCUUUCGGUGACAAAAAAUGGUUCAAACUGAGAAGUUAAGAUUUCGUUAUUCUUGUUAAUUUAAACCGAACCUGACUCUCAAAUUUGAUCGCAAACAGACAUUUAAAAAGGUUCCGGCGAAAAGUAUCAAAUUCUGAACUGCUAAAUUAAAAAUUGUAGAGUGUGUUGGGAGGGCCUGUAU